GGCACUAGUGUUUUACUACCCUUUGGCUGGUAGGCUCAGGGAAGGGCCUAACAGAAAGCUUAUGGUGGACUGCAAUGGAGAAGGUGUAGAGGCUAAUGCUGACGUCACGCUUGAGCAACUUGGGGACACAAUAUUACCGCCUUGUCCUCCCUUGGUGUUGUUCCUGUUUAAUCCCCUUGGCUCUGAUGGUAUUCUUGAUUGCCCUUUGCUGUCCUGUUAUUUCAGGUAUUGGCUUUGUAUUACUUUUUUCAUUCUUGGACUUGUAGCUACUACUAGAUGACGAAUAGAAGGGCAGUAGCGUUCAUAGAAGGGCAGUAGCGUUCUUGGACAGUAGCGUUCUUGGACUUAUAUCUCACGACUGUCACUAAAUUUUAUGUUCCACAUAGCUAUUAUAUUAUAUAUUGAAUUAAACAAUCAAUAAUAUAUAUAUAUAUAUAGGUCAAAAACGAACUUUUGUUUUGUCUGUUGCCUUAGUAGAAUUGGUUUUAACUUCUUUUUUUACGCAUUCAAAAAUUAUUAUUAUUAUUAUUAUUAUUAUUAUUUUAUGAAGAAAAGUUUAGGAGGAGGGGAGGCUACCCCAUCCCAAGAUUAGGGCAUACCAAGACCUCUUUGAGGACUUAUAGAAGGAGUCUUAGCCCAUUUUUUUGUUUUUAUAGGUUACCCAUCAAAAGGGAUUGUGGACAGCGAGACUCGAACCUAAACUUUGAUAGCGAAGAGAACGAUCCUUACCAACUCAAUUAACACUUGUUGGCAAACGAAUAUAUUUUUUUUAUUACAGUAAAUUUCCCCUUCAAAAUAAUUUUUUCUUACGUACAGCCCAUCCUUUUAUUUUUCUAUAAAUUAAACCCAAUUUUUGUAAGUAAAACCAAAUGACUAGGAUUGACCUAAGCAAGUUACCUAAUCAAGCUUAAUAUUUUAAGUGUUGCAUUUUUCAAAUUCCUAAAAUACCCGUAAUUGCAUUAAUGUUUUUCCCAACAAAUUGUUUCCUAUUCAAUGCCAUAAUGGUGUUACAAUUUUGCAUAAGUUUUCUGGUGUCAAGUUUAUUUUAAAAAUGUUGUAAAUGCAUGAGUUGGUGGAUGACCACCAUACCUCUUAAUAUUCCACCGUUGGAUUUUAUGUAACCUAUGCACUAAGUAUUUGUAAUUAAUGCUUGUAACCUAUAGGUAUAUUGUAAAUGAUGGUAUUCAAUCUCCUAUCUUGUAAGCCUAUAAAUAGGUGGUUCUACCAAAGAUUUAGUGGGAAUAAACAUGGUGAAACUUUGUCUUUAGCAUAUCACUUCUCUCUACAUUUUCUCCCUCUAGUUUUAUAACACGUUAUCAGCACGACAUUGCUCUUGGUAUGUUUUCUUUCUCUGAAUUUUCUUUCUUCUUAUAUGAGCUAGAGUCAUCACAUGGUAUAGAGUUUCUUUGUACUCACCAUCAGACUUCAUCAUGCUUGUUUAAGAAAAAAAUUCUUAUUCUUAUUACACAUGAAUAUAAUGCCAUGUUUUUGUUUUUAUUUGUUUGUUUAUUUAAUUUUAAGUAUGAUCUUAAUUAUUAUGAUGAGUUUGAAUUAUACAAAAGAUCAGGGGCCCGAAGUUCCGUGAUCCUCAUCAUAUAACUAGAUUAGGAUAUGGAGUCCUUUUGAUUGAAUCAGAACCUGAAGUUCUUUGAUUCCAAAUAAUUGAGGGCGUGAAGUUCCGCGAAUUUAAAGAGCACAUAAGGACAUAAAACUCCUCGAUUUUGAUUCAAAAUCAGAAUUCCAUGAGGCCUACAUAUGUCAAGAACUUGAACCAGAAGUUUCGCGUGCAUAUACAUCGAUUUGAGUAUGAAGUUCAAAGCACAACUAUUAAUUCAAUUUAUUUAGAUCUACGUAUUCGUACCUGAAGUUUCGAAUAUAUAUUGAUAUGAACCUGAAGUUCAUAGUUUUUCAUGGAUCUUAAUACUAUAUAUGAACUUGAAGUUCAUUACUUAUUUGUGCCUAUAUGAACCUGAAUUGGUUGGGAAUCCAAUUCUUAAACUUGUAGUUUUAUCUACAUAUUGAAUCCACAUUAAUAUUGGAUUAUCUUGGAAUUUCAUAAUCUUUAAUUGAUUUAUUUUAUUCCUUGUUUAUACCACUUUACUUAUUUUAUUAUAUUAUAUUUUAUUUAUGUUAGGUCAUUAAUUAAUUUCGUUUUACAAUGGUAAUGUUUUGUAUUACCGCCCCAAUAUUGAUAGCCAGAGGCGUCUAUUGGAGAAACUUCCUACUUUCUUUUGUGGGUAGGAAGUUUAUGAUGUUAUGAACCAAAAGUUCUUGAGGCCCUAAUAUUACACAACUAUUAUAGUUGAAGAUUAUGAUGUCAUGAACUAGAAGUUCAUUGACCGAAUAACUUUUAUGUUGUGACAUGACUAUCUUGACAAUCCAUGUCCCACAAUGAUACAUAAGAUUUUUAUAAAUUUGUAAGGACAUCGUUUAAAGACUCAAAUUAUUGUCUUGUCCAACAAUAUCAUUACAAAGAACGCUCACAAAUAAAAGCUGUCAUAAGAUCAUCUCAGUCAAAAAUUGACUUUGAGCCAUCUUUCCUGAAAUAAUUCAAGGGGAUAUUUGUGAGCCUAUAUAACAUCUAAUUAUGGAUCACUUCACCAGUUUUACUGAAUGUGCCUACUAAAAUGGUCACAUAUUUGAUAACGACUGUGAGUUUAUUUUCCUACAUUUUGAGACAAUUUUCCCGCCGUUAGGGGGAGAAAUGACAAUUCCUAAAGAACGUCGUGAAAUAGUGUUGAAUCAAUCCGCUUUUGUCUCAUCAAGAUAAUGCAUAUAUAAGUUGUACAUAUGCUAACAUGGAUUGAUAUUCUCGUAUCACAAUCCAUUAACAUGGUGACUAUAUAUAUAAUGCAUGCCUGAAGCAUGUCAGAAAUAUAGGUUCUAAAAACUUAACUCCUCAGAAAUGGAGAUUAUUUGAAAAAUUCAAGCCCUAUAAAAAAUAACGUUCUAUAGGAGGUUAUGAUCCACAUAUUCUAAAUAAUUCAUUGUAAAAGAGAUGUUUAUCCCAUAAGUGACAACAUAAGCCCCUGAAGAGGCAUUGGUACCCCAAAGCAAUGAGAUGAUUAUAAAUUAUGCAUGUGCAUGCACAUAAGAAUUGUGGGAUCACAAAUUGAUGAUACAUUUGGUUUAUUAGUAGCUACUACAAUCAUCAAGGGCUAUGAUUAUAUUAAAUCACGUUUCAUGAAUGUCAACAAGUUAAAUGAUUGGCCAAAAAUGGAAAUAGGCAAUUCCAUUUAUCACUAAAUAAGAAGAGUUGGAUAUUGAACCUAUAACUCAAACACCAAAUUACAAAUGUUCAGUAUGAAGGUUACGAAUUGGUGUUUGCACUACUACAAAAAAGCAAAAAGACGACGGUAAAUCACCGUCGUGUAUUCGGUUUUUCAAUGGUCGUGGAAUCCACCGUCAUCUUUUCCCUCAUAAACCACGACGCUAAAUCACCGUCGUUGUUAAAAUAUACAACGUCAUCAACAAAUACAAAACGACGUCUUUGUACUGCAAAAAGAUCUAAAAAAGCAGUCGAGGAUGAGAAUAGACGACCAACUCUCUAAAAAAACCGUCGUUAAAAAGGAAAAAUAUGACACAUAUUAAGAGAACAAGGCCGCAAGAUAGACAUACAACGACGAAAAUAAAAAUACGACGCCGUUAAAUAUCAUUUUCACGACAAUAAAAAAUUUGACGUCUUUAAAUACAUUAGAAGACGACGUUAUUGAUACCUACUACGUCGCAUAUAUAAAAAUAGCCGUCGUAAAAUUAAUUUUCCACUUCGAUUUUUCGAUAAAAGAUGACGUGAAAAUAGUUGUCAGUGUCAUUAUUUACGACGUAUGUAUUUAUUGAGUAGACAUUGAAAAACGAAACAACGUCGGUUACAAAUAUAUGAGAGUCGUAUUACAAAAUUUAUACGUCAUAUUUUCAGAAACAAACAACGACGAUAAAUAUUAGACGUUGUUAAAUAAAACAACGUCGGAAAACAAUAAAAACAGACGUGUUUAGUCUGCUAAAGUUCUAGAAAAUAGUCGAGGAUGAGAAUAGACGACCAACUCAAACAAAUCACCGUCGUUAAAAAGGAAAAAUAUGACACAUGUUAAAAGAACAAGGCCGCAAGAUAUACAUACAACGACGAAAACUAAAAUACUACGCCGUUAAAUAUAAUUUACACGACAAGAAAAAAUAUGACGUCUUUAAAUACAUGAGAAGACGACGUUAUUGAAAUAUACUACGUCUCUUAUUUACAAACAACCGUCGUGAAAUAAAUUUUCCACUUCGAUUUUUCUAAAAAAGAUGACGUGGAAAUAGUUGUCAGUGUCAUUAUUUACGACGUAUGUAUUUAUACAGUUGACGUUGAAAUGCGAAACAACGUCGGUGGCAUUUAUAUAGUUGACGUUGUAUUUAUAUCUAUCAUCAUUACUCACGACGCACUUAAUAAUAUAGACGACGUUGAACUUCUAAACAACGUCGGUUCCAAAUAAAUGAGAGCCGUAUUACAGAACAUAUAGACGGCGUUGAUUAUGAUGAGAGCCGUAUUACAAAUAACGUCGUUUAAUUGUUAUUAGACGGCGGUUAUAAUGAAUUUCCGUCGGAAUUCAUUUCGUUCCUCUUCGUUUAUAAAAGAACUUGCGACGUGGAAAAUGUAUGAUGACGUCGUAUUUUUUAACGUUCAGAUUAUAUAUCUCGUUUUUUAGACGUCGGUAUUAUGGGAUUGGAGUCAUGUUAUUUUGAAUUACAUGGCGGUUCUUAAUCCUUCCCCGACGUGAUAUCCUGAAUAAUUGCUUCACAAUAGCGUCGUGGUUCUUCAUUGUUACGUUGCUUUAAGACGUCGGUAAAUAUGCUGAAUAACUGGUUCACAAUAACGUCGUGUUUUAUUUGAACGUAGAAAGUGAAGAAAUCACAUUACAAUAUAUUACAAAAUUAAUGUCAUACACUGCCAAUUACAUAAGCAUCAUUCAAUCCAUAUAUCUUCACACCCAUCUCGAAUAUUUUGACCGCCUAACUCACCCACCAGUUCAUCAAAUGUGUCAACAUUUGACAUCCCUCUAGUAAAUGGCUCACACUCAAUUAUCACAUCACCUAAGACUUCAUCACCAAUAACAUCAUUAUAUUCUCUAUUAGGCAUUGAUAACACUACCGACCAACCACGAUGCAUCGGGUCGUCAACAAAAAAUAUUUGUUUGACUUGAGAAGCCAAAACAAAUUGGUCAUUCCUAUGUCCAAUUUUACUCAAAUCUACAAGGGUAAAUCCAAGUUCGUCGACUACAAGACCAGAACUAUCUAUCCAAUCACACCUAAAGACUGGGAUUGUAAACUUUUGGUAGUCAAGGUCCCAAAUUUCUUGAAUGACACCAUAGAAACCCAUAUUUGAGAGAAUUGGGUUUUUAUCCUUGGCACUAGCAACUUGCAUGGUAUGUGCAAGUAAAUAAACUCCACUAUUUUGAGUUGUCCGCACAUCAUCUUGUGCCUUGAUAUUGAAUUUAAUACUUUUAAUAAGAUAGCUCCUAUAUAAUGGCACUGACAUGUUUGGACCAGCUGCUAGCCACCUUAAAUUUUCUGAUACGCCAUGAUUGUCUUCCUCAAGUUCACUUUGGACCUGCGAAGUAAUCAUAUCUUAUUUCAAUCUACAUAUAAAUUAGAAGAAAAUUAAAGAGAAUAUGGUAUUCAACAACAUAUACCUUGAAGCGUAGCCAUUGAAUGAAAGUGCUAUCGGGCUUAUCCUGCAGCCACUUGGUCUCUUCUAAUUUUUGGAUAGCAUCUUGAUGUGGAUCAUAUGUUGNNNNNNNNNNNNNNNNNNNNNNNNNNNNNNNNNNNNNNNNNNNNNNNNNNNNNNNNNNNNNNNNNNNNNNNNNNNNNNNNNNNNNNNNNNNNNNNNNNNNAUAUAUAAGAUAAACAUUAGAGAUAACAUAGAAUAAUUUAAAUGAAACUAAAGAUAAAGCUCAUACGUACUCGAUUAUAAGUAGACUCUCGUAUCUCAAGACAUAUAAGAUGUGCUUGAUUCAACAGGUCUGAUCAACUACGCUCACUGUGCAACCUGAUAAUGGCUUUGAAAGUCCCAUCUUUUGGCUUGAAGGCACUCAACUGUACUAACAUCAGAUAAAUGCUGAGUACAAAACUCUACCGCUUCUUCAGCUAUAUACCGCUCAGCAAUGCAACCUUCGGGACGAGUACGAUUCUGAACAUACCCCUUCAGCACUUUCAUAUAUCUUUCAAACAGAUACAUCCACCUAAAAUAUACUGGCCCACAUAGACGAACUUCUCUGACAAGAUGUACUACUAGAUGAACCAUGAUAUCAAAGAAUGAAGGGGGAAAGUACUUCUCAAGCAAACACAGAGUAACUACUACAUCUUCUUCCAACUUAUCUAGCUUGGAAACAUCAACAGUCUUUGCACAUAUAGCAUUGAAGAAGAAGCAAAAACGAGUUAUUGCAUACCUUGCAGGCUUCUCCAAAACAGAACGAAUUGCCACAGGGAGCAAUUGUUGCAUUAAGGUAUGACAAUCAUGUGAUUUAAGGCCAAGAAGUCUUGAAUCUUGUAAAGAUACAAGAUUUUUAAUAUUUGAAGAAUAACCUUCAGGGACCUUCAUACCAUAGAAAGAAUUGCAAACCUCUCUCUUCUCUGCUCUUGACAAAUUCCAAGGCCCAGGAGGCAAACGAGUACGUCUUUCUCCAUACUCGGGUUGCAAAUCAGUUUUGACCCCCAUGUUCAAUAAAUCUAAUCGAGCAGCAAUCCCAUCUUUAUUUUUUCCAGGGAUCUCCAGCAAUGUACCAAUGAUACUAUCGCAAACAUUCUUCUCAAUGUGCAUAACAUCUAGGGCAUACUCGAGAUCAAAGAAUAUUGAUUUCUUCUUCCAACAAACUCUGUCACCAUUUUCAACCAUAUGCAGCACUUCUUCUCCGGUUAAUGGCUCGGGAGGUAUGCCAUAUUCAGGUUUCCCAUUAAAAGCUGCACGUUGCCUCCUAUAUGGAUGAUUGAUUGGUAACCAUUUUCUAUGCCCAAUGUAACAAAUUUUGUGGCCAUUUUUCAACCUGUGACUAGGUGUAUCAUCGCUGCAUAUUGGACAAGCUUUAUAUCCUUUAACAACACAACCAGAUAAGUUUCCAUAGGCGGGGAAAUCAUUAAUUGUCCACAUUAAUGCAGCUCUGAGUGUAAAGUAUUCUCCAUUAUGUGCAUCAUACACUCCUCUAAUCCCAACCCACAAGGAUUUUAAAUCAUCAAUCAAAGGCUCCAAGUAGACGUCUAUAUCAUUUCCGGGUUGUUUAGGACCGGAAAUCAAUAAGGUUAACAUCAUGAACUUUCGUUUCAUGCACAGCCAUGGAGGGAGAUUAUAUGUAACUAAGAUAACCGGCCAACAACUAUAUCUGCUACUUAGAGAACUGUGGGGAUUGAAUCCAUCAGAUGAAAGAGCCAAUCUCAAGUUUCUCGGCUCAUUACCAAACUCAGGCCAUUUAUCAUCAAGAAGUUUCCAAGACGGGGAAUCCGCCGGAUGAGACAUCUGACCGUCAAUUGAUUUUCUAGCAGCAUGCCACCAAGUCAAACUCUUAGCUGUCUCAUGUGAUUGAAACAUCCUUUUAAACCUUGGAAUUGGGGGAAAAUACCACACCACCUUCGCUGGCACACCCUCUUUCAAGAUUGAAUCUUUGCCUUCCUUCCACCUUGAGAUACCACAAGUAGGACAAUUAGUUGAAUCCUCAUACUCCUUCCUAUACAAGAUGCAAUCAUUGGGGCAUGCGUGCAUUUUCUCAUAACUCAGCCCCAAUGCACACAAAGUCUUUUUAGCCUCAUACAUGGAGGUUGGUAUUGUAUUUCCUUCUGGAAGCAAAUCGCCUUGAAGUAUCAAUAAUUCUGUAAAACAGACAUCACUCAUCCCAUAUUUUGCCUUCAAAUUAUACAACUUCACUAAUGCCGAUAACUUCGUGUACUUUCUACAACCAGGGUACACUGGUUGAUCUCCAUCCCCAAUCACAUUGGCAAACUCAUACGGAUCCGAACCAAAAUCACCAAAAUCAUUAUCAUCCAUAUCAAUUUCUUCAGACACAAAACUGUACCUACUAUGGCCAUCAUCUUCUUCAACAUUUCUACUAGCAUUAGUAGUUGCUUCCCAAGGUUCUCUGUGAAAUGUCCAAUUCUUAUAGCUUUGGUCAAUUCCAUUAAAGUAUAAGUGAUCCCUUAUAAUUCCAACCCCAAACAACUUCAAAUUAACACAUUUAACACAUGGACAACGGAUAUGUGUUGUAGUUAGAAGAUUUUCUACAGCAAAGUUCAAAAAUGCUUCCACCCCAAAUUCAUAUGCCUUCGAUCUUCUAUCCGAGUGCAUCCAUGACUUAUCCAUCUCCGACACUAUAACCUAUUAUCUAUAAUAAAGUGAAAAUACAGGCAAUGACCAUCACUAUAGCAGAUUAUACAAUGAUCUAAUCGCAAGUAAUACACAACAGAGACGACGGGUUUUAAACAAAAACAGACGUAUUUGGCAUAUAUAGACGACGGAUUUUCAACAGACGUCGUCUAUUAUAAGUAAUACAAACGACGGUUUAUGAAAAAACCGUCGUGUAUAAGUAAUACAACGACGGUAGUUUAAAAAAACCGUCGUGUAAUCGUCGUCGUAAGCCUUAAAAUUCGUCGUGUCUCAGUUUAUUUUCAAGAACACAAAACCCAUUAAGAACACAACAUAUAUAUGAAACCAAGCAAGAAACCAACAUAUACAUGAAACCAAGCAUGAAAACAAUAAAUCCAUUCCCAAUUCAACAUAACAUAGGGUGAUUAAAAGAUACGACAAAAUUAAAUCCAUUCCCAAUUCAACAUAACAGAUAAUGUAAUCCANNNNNNNNNNNNNNNNNNNNNNNNNNNNNNNNNNNNNNNNNNNNNNNNNNNNNNNNNNNNNNNNNNNNNNNNNNNNNNNNNNNNNNNNNNNNNNNNNNNNNNNNNNNNNNNNNNNNNNNNNNNNNNNNNNNNNNNNNNNNNNNNNNNNNNNNNNNNNNNNNNNNNNNNNNNNNNNNNNNNNNNNNNNNNNNNNNNNNNNNNNNNNNNNNNNNNNNNNNNNNNNNNNNNNNNNNNNNNNNNNNNNNNNNNNNNNNNNNNNNNNNNNNNNNNNNNNNNNNNNNNNNNNNNNNNNNNNNNNNNNNNNNNNNNNNNNNNNNNNNNNNNNNNNNNNNNNNNNNNNNNNNNNNNNNNNNNNNNNNNNNNNNNNNNNNNNNNNNNNNNNNNNNNNNNNNNNNNNNNNNNNNNNNNNNNNNNNNNNNNNNNNNNNNNNNNNNNNNNNNNNNNNNNNNNNNNNNNNNNNNNNNNNNNNNNNNNNNNNNNNNNNNNNNNNNNNNNNNNNNNNNNNNNNNNNNNNNNNNNNNNNNNNNNNNNNNNNNNNNNNNNNNNNNNNNNNNNNNNNNNNNNNNNNNNNNNNNNNNNNNNNNNNNNNNNNNNNNNNNNNNNNNNNNNNNNNNNNNNNNNNNNNNNNNNNNNNNNNNNNNNNNNNNNNNNNNNNNNNNNNNNNNNNNNNNNNNNNNNNNNNNNNNNNNNNNNNNNNNNNNNNNNNNNNNNNNNNNNNNNNNNNNNNNNNNNNNNNNNNNNNNNNNNNNNNNNNNNNNNNNNNNNNNNNNNNNNNNNNNNNNNNNNNNNNNNNNNNNNNNNNNNNNNNNNNNNNNNNNNNNNNNNNNNNNNNNNNNNNNNNNNNNNNNNNNNNNNNNNNNNNNNNNNNNNNNNNNNNNNNNNNNNNNNNNNNNNNNNNNNNNNNNNNNNNNNNNNNNNNNNNNNNNNNNNNNNNNNNNNNNNNNNNNNNNNNNNNNNNNNNNNNNNNNNNNNNNNNNNNNNNNNNNNNNNNNNNNNNNNNNNNNNNNNNNNNNNNNNNNNNNNNNNNNNNNNNNNNNNNNNNNNNNNNNNNNNNNNNNNNNNNNNNNNNNNNNNNNNNNNNNNNNNNNNNNNNNNNNNNNNNNNNNNNNNNNNNNNNNNNNNNNNNNNNNNNNNNNNNNNNNNNNNNNNNNNNNNNNNNNNNNNNNNNNNNNNNNNNNNNNNNNNNNNNNNNNNNNNNNNNNNNNNNNNNNNNNNNNNNNNNNNNNNNNNNNNNNNNNNNNNNNNNNNNNNNNNNNNNNNNNNNNNNNNNNNNNNNNNNNNNNNNNNNNNNNNNNNNNNNNNNNNNNNNNNNNNNNNNNNNNNNNNNNNNNNNNNNNNNNNNNNNNNNNNNNNNNNNNNNNCCGACUUACAUAUUAAAAUGACGUCGUUUAAAGCGUAAACCAUGUCGUAUGAUUUUCUGUACGACGUUAAAAUAUGUAUUCCACGACAGCAUCCGCCGUCGUUAAAAAUUAAUACCCUAAACCCAUAAAACUAAAUUAUACAAUUUAAAAAAGUAAGUUUAUAAAAGGUUUUAUAGUUUUAAAGCCUAACAUAUACCCUAGGACUACCCAAAAAUUAUACUUUAAAAAUAAACCCCAAUAAAUAACAACCCUAAUCUCUAAACCCUAGACUCUAAACCCUAAACCAUAAAACUAGAAGUGAUUUUAUGACUCAUCAAAACAAUUUUGUUUUGGAUGGUCAUUUUAAAUUUUUGUUAUUCAAAAUGAAUUUUUUCAAGGUUUAUGUGGAAGAAAAUAUAUCAAUGACUUCAUAGGAGAUGACUUUUCAAUUUUCUGAUUUAUUUUAAAUUUAUUUUGAAUAUUUUGAUAUAAAAAUAAUAAAAUAUUCUUACCACAACAACAAACCACGUCGGUGUUAAUAAAUUGUAGACGUUGUAAAUUGUAAUAGACUACUAAGUCGUUAAAAUGAGAAACCAUGGCGGCUAUUUAACUAUACGACGUAAAAUAUAUAUUCCACGACUUAACCGCUGUCGUUACAUAAACGUCGUCGAUGAUACCCUGAACCCUUAAGAAAUUGAAGAUGUUGUAAACCAUAAACGACUCAAUUGUUCAAAGAACGUCGUCUAACUAUAUUUUUACGUCGUAUUUGUUUAAAACACGAAACAACAAAAUACGACGGUUUUUGACUUUAUUAGGUCGUUGGAAAAGUAUUACACGUCGGUUAAGCAAUUUGUAUGUUUGUUUUUUUUUUAAUUUAAGAAAACCUCAACAAAUUUUUACAUUACAUAUUAUAGAGAAAAUUUGUACAUUAUACAUAAAUAUCAAGUGUUCAAUAAUUGCCCUGUUUAAUAAUUUGGAAAACAAACUCUGCCCAUUCAUUCCGGACUUCAUCAAUGGCUUCUUGGGGGUAUGAAGCUUCCUGGUUUCCCUUGGCAUACUGCAUAAACAAUGACUAUUAGGGUUUAUAAAUAAAAAGAAAUUCAAUCACAGACGACGAUAUUUUUCAUAACCGACGUAGUAUAUCCAUUCAACGACGUUAAUUUUACAUGACCGUCGUUGAUAAUACAAAAAACGACGUGAAAUGUAUGAAGGUAAUUUCUUCUUACCUUAUUCUCAAACCCCAAGGAAGGAUCCAUGAUGAUGUCCCUCAUGAAGCGCAUCACAUAAUACCCGCAUUCGACAUUGCUGGGUUGCUUUGGUGUGCCUGAGAGAGUUUUCCAAAUUACAUUUUUACGUCCUGCUCGGGCUAUGUGGGUAUUAUAUAUUUUUAAAGCACUGUUCACGAUAUUUUUCGCCUCUUCGUCGACCACACGAUGACCUGGCAGAGGAUCCAGAAAAUAGACGGUCUCCUUCUUUGCUCUUACAAUCAACAAGAUCCAAUGACGGCUGCACAAAAUUAAUAUAAAAACGACGGUUAUUUACAAAAACGACGUAUUAUAGUAUUUCACACGACGAAAUAAAGUAGAUAACGACGACAUUAUAUAUUUAUCACGACGAUAAAUAAAUACCGACAUGGUUAGUAGUUUCAAACGACUAAAUAAAAUAAAACACCGACGUGGUUAGUUUAUAAGCUGUCAUUUAUUGAAAAUCAUAAAAACAAAAUCCUAAGGAGACUAACCCUGGAUUGUAAGGCAUCAUGAAAAUCUGUUCACCGUCUGUCUUCUGAAGUCGAGCUGCUACCAGUUGUGAUCUUUCAGUUAUUGUGCCAGAGUUGGCACUAACUGUAGCAGGGUCGAUAAAGCCAACCAUGCUGCACAUAUUGGCUUGUUUCAAAACAUCGUGUAAGUACCUAAAUACAUAAAAUAAUAUAAACAAGUCAGCACAAACAAACACGACGGUUAUGUAUAAAAAAACGACGUAUUAUAAUAUUUCACACGAGGUACUGAAAUAGAUGAGGACGUUAUAAUAUAUUUAUCACGACGGUAGUUAGUUAAGACGACGUGGUUAGUUAGUUAAGACGACGCAAUAUAUAAACCAACGAGGUAUUAUUUUAGAAGUACAAACCUCAUAUAUACAGCCAAUACAGUAGCUCCAAUUUCUUCCAUGCCUGCAAAUUGUGUAAUAUCUUCUGGCAGGAGGAAGGUAUCGCGCUCACCACCAAACACCUCUUUAUCAAUUGUAAAUUGGAGUGUCUUAUCCUCAGGCAGGAGUGUCGUUUCCACAAAACGACAAAGGGUUUUUAAAGAAGAUGGCGCCUCCAUAUUUGAAUAAGCACCAACUUCAAAAAUCUGUUUAAAGAAAUAAAAAAAAUGACGUGGUAAUUCAAUAAAGACGACGGUUUAAGGAAUAAAACGUCGUCUUAAAAGUAUUUAAACGACGGUAAAAAAACUGUCGUGGUAAUUCAAUAAAGACGACGGUUUUAUGAAUAAAGCGUCGUCUGAAACCAUUUAAACGACGGUGCAAAAACCGUCGUUUAAAUAUUUUAUUACGUCUUAAAAAAAGUCCGCCGUCUAAGUUUUAAACAAACGACGGAUUAAAUAAAAAUAUCGACGUCUGAAAUUUUGAAAAACAAAUAAAAAAGGCAAAGUUAUGUAAACAUACCUUGUCGUCAUGCUUUUCUUCAUCUUCUUUCUCCUUUUCUUCUUCCUUCUCUUCAUCUUUUUUUUCUUCUUCCUUCUCUUCAUCUGGCUGAUGUUUCCCCAUUUUGGCAGUAUCAUCCUCCAAAUGUAGGGAUCUCACAUCACCUCCAGAGCAGCUAGCUUUGUCAGACAUUGGAUUUUUGGGGCUUUGGCUAAUUCUUGGUUUAAGCAUGCUUGGAUCAAAAUUGGGAAUUAAUUGGGAAAGCUGACUCAGGAAAUGCUCCCUCUCAGCCUCUACCAAUUGUUUUGUCCUAGCCUCCAUCCUUAAGGCCUCUUCCCUUGCCUUAGCCUCCAUCUUUUUAGUCUCUUCUUGAAGGAGAACUCUUAAACUGUCCUUCAAACGGUCGUCAAAGCUCACCCUCUGUGGUUUGGGCAAAUUGAAAUAUUGCCUUGGGGAAACACCAGCACCAACUCCCCUCACUCUGCCAGGAUGCUCGGGGCCCAAAGCCAUGGUCAGCACAUCAUUGCUGCCAUCUACUCUGACUUUGCCUUCCGAGAUUGUUUCUGCAAUUCAUCCUAAAAAAAAAUAAACAAAAAAACACACGACGGUUAUUUAUGUACAAACGACGUAUUAUAUAAUUUCACACGACGCAAUAACGUAUAAACCGACGUUAUUAUAACUUAUCACGACGGUAGUUAUACCGACGUGGUUAUUUAUUUAAAACGACGAAAUGAAUAAACAACCGACGUCUUAUGCUAUAAUUAAAGAAAACAGAGUAGUGAUUCCUAUUUAGACCGUUAACGACGUUUUUAAAAAAGUUUCGACGUGGUAAUAUCAUUCAAACGACGCCAAAAUGAACCACCGACGUCUUAUGCUAUAAUUACAGAAAACAUAGUAGUGAUUCCUAUUUAGACCUUUAACGACGUUUUUAAAAACUUCUCGACGUGGUAAUAUCAUUCACACGACGGAAAAUAUAACAUACGACGUAAUAAGAAUAAUUCACAGUUUAAUAAAAAUUUAAAACAGAGUGAUAGUAGGCUUACAAUUAAUUUUGCUUUCUCUGCCACCUUUGGAUCAGGGAUGUUACCAUGUUUGUCCUGUCUAGCUCUCUUCCAUAAGGUAGAUCGAUCAAUUUCUACCCCAGGCAUGGUUUCCUCCAAUUGAUCCUCCAAUCCAGCAUAUCCUUUUCGAGACAAUCGAUGAUUGUACUCGAGUUUCUCCCUAAUCUGUGCAUGUUGAGAAUGCACAGACUCAAAAUCUUUGGAUAGCCUUGAAGCUACAAAGGCAUCCCAUUGUGCUUUCUCUAUGAAUUUAUAUGUUUCAGGGGGUUGGCUUAAUUUCUCCCUGUCAUUGGUGUAUGGAAGGAUAUAACGCCUCGUUAGUGUAGACUUGAAAUCCUUCCAUUUCUUGGAAGCAGAAGCUAAAACAGAGGUCUUGCCCCCUUGGCCUACGACAAAAGCCAUGUCAACUGCUUCCCAAAUCUGCUCCUUUAUAUCCUUGGGGAUUUGGGACCAUUUCUUGUCCACAAGUGGGAUCCUGGAGCGUGCCAACACACCAAUAUACGACUGCAUCUCAAUAUGUGCUUGGCCAACACCUUUCCCCCUUUUAUUGUACUCAACAAUUGGCCUCAGUUUCUGAAGCUUUCUCUUCACAACACAAGGCAUUGUGCUCAUACCUCGACCAGUCUUUGAAUCAUCAGAGAUUGUUGUCUGGCUGGUUGGUUCUGUCUCAGCAGAUGAUGAAGCAAACUUCAUCUUCUUCGAAGACUUCAUCUCCUUCGAAGACUUGUCUUGAGGAGCUACCAUUCCAAGCUUCUUGGAGCCAGAAUCCUUAGUUUGUUGUUGAGAAACCAUUUUAACAGACAAAACUGCAAGUGAAAAUAUUUCAGGAAAACAUUAAGAACACAAACGACGGUAUUAAAAAAAUACGACGUAUGAUAUGAUUUUAGACGACGCAAUGAAAUAAUCUCAGACGUAAUAAAUGUUUAAAACCAUUAUUUAUAUAACGUCGUGGUAUAUAUGUUCACACGACGUCAAUAGUAAUACACCGUCGUGGUAAAACUAUUAUUUAUAUAACGUCGUGGUAUUUAUGUUCAUACGACGUCAAUAGUAAUACACCGUCGUGGUAUUAACAUUCACACGACGUAAAACAAUAAGAUAUUUUGUCGUCUAUAUUAGAUACCAACCCUAGUUUCUUUUUCUUUAUAUUUUAUCAAAUAAGGGAAAAACAAAAACCAUUGUUCAGAGAAAUCAAACCUGCAAUUAAACAAGCAUAUAAAAAAAGACUAUUAUUUUAAAAACAACUUUGUCAAUUUUCAGACGACGCUAGAACAACUGACGAACCGUCGUGGUCUACCGUCGUCUUAUUUAGUUGAGGUAGUUGUCUUCAAAGUUGGAAACUUUCCCUCUUUGUCUGUAUAUUUUAUCAAACUUGGAAAGAAGUAAAAUGAUUUUGGCCAGAAAAAAGGUAAAAAGAUUUUUCAAACAAAAAACGUAUGAGCAUGCAAAACAGUAACCAAAAUAGUGAAAAUGAAAGCUUACCUUUUGCGUGCAAUGAAAGCAAGAGGAAGAUGAUCGAUGUUUAAGUUCAGAGACGACGAAGAAGACGAGAGGAAGACGAUGAGAAACUCUGACAAUGCUCUGACAAGGAAAAAAGACGAAAAGGUUUCUCUAGGAGAUUGAAAUUUUUAAUCGGGUUUGGAAACAGUGCAUGUGUAAGUCGAAAAGUUGCUUACAUAUAAAACCAUUUCAAAAAAAAUAAUACGGCGGUUACAUUUAACUACGUCGUUUUUAACUAACACGACGCAAUAUUUUUCGUUCGACGUGGAAUCAUUUCAUUUAACGUCGUUAGGUUUAAUAUAACCGACGUGGAUUUUAAUUUUUAAAUUAUGAAUAGAAUUUUUUUUCCCGUGACCUUUCAGUUUAUUUUUCAAUUACAGUGCGUUAUAAAUAGAGUUUUUUUUCCGGAGGAAAUUUAAAACGAAGGAAAUUAAUAUUCUUCAAUAUGUAAAAUUUCUUUUUUGGAUGACAGAUUUAAAUAAAAUAAGAAUAUAAAAACAACUAAUGUGUAAGUCAAGUAGACGAAAAGUUGCUUACAUAUAAAACCAUUUCAAAAAAAUAAUACGGCGGUUACAUAUAACUACGACGUAUAAAUUACAAAAUACGACGGUACAUUUAACUUCGGACGUGGUAAAUAAAUACGACAGUAGUUUGUAGGUACCGUCGUAGUAAACUCAAAAAUUAAAGUACAUAAGUAAUAACUCGCGUCAUGGUAGAUUAUUUAACACGUCGUUUUUAUUAAUUUACCGACGUGGAUUUCUGUAAUAUACGUCGAUAAUACCGACGCUGAUUUUACAAUUUAAACGGCGGUUUUUUUGUAAGGACCGCCGUUGGUUUUAAAAAUUUAUUCUAUAAAUUUGUCGCUUUCAUUCAUUUUCGGUUUACAUUUAAGGUUCCAAGUUCUUCCUCUCUCAGUCUCUCAUGUCUCAAAGACAAUAAUUUGGAUGUUUUCUCAAAGAGAAAUUGAGCUUACUCGCAUCAAAUAUAUGUCCACAAGAAGAAGCUUGUCAACUAGCCUUCUCACUUCCUUGAUCAAGCCUGAUAGGACACUUAGUGCUUCUGAAUACUCCUUGCUUUCCAUCAAAAGAGAUGCAAGCCUGGCCUCCACUCGCUGUCGAAGGAAAGUUCGCUUCUCAGGGAAAUCUGAAGAUCAGAUGUGCCUGAUCCUCUGCUUGAUUUUCUUGCCUAAGAAGAUCCGUCGGAUUUGUGAUAGCCUCUUCCUUUAUCCGUAGAGCUUCAGAAGAAGAAGAUGGGUUUCAAGAAUGCGAUAAAGAAUAGAAAUGGCUUCAGAUGGCCUCUAAAGCAUGAGCAAUUGAAUCAGUAGUUUCUGGGAGAUAUGAUGAAGACAUUGUCAAUGCUUUGAACUAUACAAGUCCUGCAGAAAGAUAUGUUAAAGAAACUGAAACAACGGCGGUUUUCUGUUCUACCGUCGUCUUUUCUCGUCGUCUAUAUUAAGUUAAGAUGGCGGUAGAUUUAUAAUUACCGACGUAGAUUAUUUUGUUAAACGUCGUUAAGUGUACUACAACCGACGUGGAUUUUAUUUUUAAAUUAUAAAUAGAGUUUUUUUUCCCGUAUUCUUUCAGUUUUAGUUUUCAAUUCCAAAGCGUGAUAAAUAGAUUUUUCUUUCCCGAGGAAAUUUAAAAUCAGGGAAAUUAAUGUUCUAAAAUUUGUAAACUAACACGACGCAAUAUUUGCAAAUCUGUGUCAUCUGUUAAGAUUAUGAUGUGGAACAGAGUUCCAUCUGGUAAGAUUUCGUAACCCUUGGGAUCUCAGACAAAUCUGAUUAUGUCGGCGGUGUUCUAUAUAAACCGUCGUGGUUAUUUCAAUUCUUGUCAUUAAGUAGAUCUACCGCCGUAGGAUAAGAAAAUCAAAGAAAAAAAUUGUUAACAAAAAUUCUUAUUAAGACGACCGUUAAAAUUAAAGGUACGACGUAUAAAAUGAAUAAAUACGACGUUAAAUUUUAUUGUACGAUUUAAAGAUAACGUCGUAGAACUAUACGAGAAUGACGUCGAUAUAUUUAUAUUUUCCGUCGUUGUAAAUUAAUUUAAUACGGCGAUAUUUUGUAUUUUAAAGCCGUGGAUUUGUUUGUAAUUAUACGGCGUCUUAUACGAAAACCUCGUCGUGUUAUUUUAUGAGUAAAAACGGCCGUUUUUAUUGAAAUCGUCGUCUUUACUUUCUACGUCGGUCGAUUCAUAACUUCUGCCGUUCUUUGUUGGCAUUGAUUUUACACUGCGGAAAUCUGUUUCAAAUAGACGUCGGUUGUUUAAUUAUGUACGUCGUUGUUUUUGAACAGCCAUUUGAAUCUCCAUUUUUUAGUUGUCUAAGGUUGUAUUACACGACGGUAUUUUUAGAACCGUCGUCUUUUUAUAAACCACGACGGUUUUCACUUAGACCGUCGUUGUUUUCUGGUCGUCUUUUUCACUUUUUGUAGUAGUGUUGUGAAGUGAAAUAAGAUCACUAAUAUGACAUAAGGUUUUCUGGGAGAGACAUGUGGUUUUAGUCUCCAAUCUCAUCGUAAAUGCAUCCACAUUUCUAUAAGUGCGGUUGUUACUUUAACGCAAAACUUAUAGUAUGUGUUAAAUGCAUAUUUAUUAAGACUAUAUGGUACAUGGAAAUCCUCAAAGCUCAUGAAAUAUUUGAGAUAUAUCGGAUGAAGCAACCUCUUGAAAGAUAUAAAGUACCACACUAUUCUUAAUUAAGAGUUAACACUAAGAGUUUGAGUAUUUUGAAUUCAAAUUUGAUAUUGUUGUAACAUAUUCUAACUACUAAAUUAGUUGUUGAUACUCCUAAAGAUUUCAAUCAUUUGAAAAGUGAAAAGCAGGUUGAAUAGUGUGAUAGAUGAUCAUGUAUGAAGACAAUGUUGCUUGUAUUGCUCAAAUCAGAGAAGGAGAGAUAUUAAUCAGGGGGAGAUAUCAAUCAGGGGGAGCAUCCCAAUUCUACUACAUUCAAGGCAGAUGCGCGUUGUACUCUUUUUCCCUUCGACUAGGUUUUUGUCCCACUAGGUUUUUCCUAGCAAGGUUUUAACGAGGCAAUAUAAGCUCAUCCAUCACCAUAUCAAUGAUUCAGAAGAAAGUUUCACUCUUUUUCCCUUCGCUUUGGUUUUGUCCCACUGGGUUUUCCAAGCAAGGUUUUUAAUGAGGAAACAAUGUCAUUGUAUGGUGGACAUCCAAAGGGGAGUGUUGUAAAUGCAUGAGUUGGUGGAUGACCACCAUACCUCUUAAUAUUCCACCGUUGGAUUUUAUGUAACCUAUGCACUAAGUAUUUGUAAUUAAUGCUUGUAACCUAUAGGUAUAUUGUAAAUGAUGGUAUUCAAUCUCCUAUCUUGUAAGCCUAUAAAUAGGUGGUUUUACUAAAGAUUUAGUGGGAAUAAACAUGAUGAAACUUUGUCUUUAGCAUAUCACUUCUCUCUACAUUUUCUCCCUCUAGUUUUAUAACAAAAAAGUAUAUAUUGAUAAUUUCUCAUUUAAUUAAUAAUUUUAAGUCUUAAUAUUUAUAGUAACUAAGGGUAUUUUCUGGUAUUUUGACUGUUUCACCGUUAUAUAUAUAGAUGACAUACCCAUUUUUUUAUCUGAAUAAUAGCAGUGCAUUAGGUAAAAAUUCACGAACAGAGAGGCUUGUAUACUUUGAAUUAAUUAACAUUUGGAUUGAGCCUAUUAUCAUGGAAACAAAGUAUAAAAUCCUACAACUGUGGAAACAAAUUCCAGUCUACUUUAUUAACUCAAGUGGAAAUUUGUAGGUCGUAUAUUAAAUAAUUUAGAGAUUUUUUAUUGAUGGAAAUUUUAGGGAUUGAAAACGAACAUUAAAGGGAGUGCCCAAAUAAAAAGAGACGAGGAGCUAUUGAUAUGCUAGAAAUAGGGAGUAUUAAUUACAAAUUAGGGAGAGUUAAUGACACACUUAAAAAUAAUUAUAAUAAAAUAUGCAGAUACAUGGCAUAUGUUGUAAUUAAUUUAUAAUACUCGGACAUAUUUGUCAUAUAAUAUAGGUUUUGCAAUAUGUAUUUAAGUUAAGGAUUGGUUACAUAUUUCUUAGUUCGGCCGUUGGAUUGCAUUCAUGAUGUAGAACAGAUGGCAGAUUUUAUCGCGGUUGAGCUAGAAAAAGGACGUAGUGGGAAUAUACAGUUUUGUCGUCCAAGCUCCGAUUAGGACGCAAAAUACCAUUUUGGAAAGGGAACGACGCCACGAGUGUAACACACAGCUUGGCUGUGACAUAUGAUGGAUUUUGGCAUUCUGAGGUCGUUUGGCCUUCCAAAACUGCAGUUAAAGUUUGGUAGUUAAUUUUCCAAUAAAUUCUAUUUUGGACAGUUUAGGAGUUACGUUAUUAAGACUCCAAAUUAAUCCUGUUUUUCAGUUUUAUGUAAUAACUCCCCUAGUAGUUGAAGGGUUGAGGGUUGUUGAGAAUUGUGUAUUUAGACAGGUUUGUCUAACGUUUCUAGCAACUCAGUUUUUAAUAACAUUAUUCCAAGAGAGCUUCUCUUAAUUUUCUGGUGGAAUCCAGUUUUUAUUGUUACUCAAGGUUUCGCUUGAAACCUUUGUUGCUUGUGCUGCGUCAAUUCAUUAGAUGUAUUAGUAGAUUAAAUAUGUAACAUACAUGCAAUAUUAUCCAAAUAUAUAAUCAAUCCUUCACAUAAAAUACUUAUUCGAGAAUCUCCCCUAUCUUACAUUGCAACAUAUUUUAAAUUUGGGUUUUAAGUAAAAUUUUAAAAAUAGAUGAGUUAAUAUCUAGGAUCCAGGAGUUGCAAGGUCCUAUAUCUGAGGAACCCUUUUUUGUUUCUUCACAGAAUGAUUAUAUUCAUUCUUGAUGAAGAUAGAAUUAACUAAAAAAGUAGUUGCAAUUAUUAAUGUAGGUAACGCGCCUAACAUGUGGAGGCUUCAUCCUUGGAUUGCGGGUAAACCACACAAUAUGUGAAUGUGACGCAGUAGGGUUGGCCCAAUUCUUGAACGCAAUUGGGGAGAUGGCCAAAGGAGCAGAUUCACCAUCAAUUCCACCACUGUGGGCACAAGAGCUCCUCAAUGCCAUAGAUCCACCGACAAUUACACUUCCGCAUUACGAAUAUGAGCAAUUGCUUGAUUCACAAGGCUCCUUCAUUAUAGACCAAUCAGACAUGGCCCAACGAUCCUUUUAUUUCGGUCCACAGCAGAUUACAGCCCUCAGGAAACAUCUUCCACCCCACCUUUCCACUUGCUCCUCAUUUGAGCUCAUAACAGCCUGCAUCUGGAAGUGUCGAACGCUUUCACUGAGACUGAAUCCAAAAGACACUGUUCGCCUUUCCUGCAUCAUCAACGCCCGCGGGAAGCGCAUGGAUGACCUAUGUCUCCCCUUGGGAUUCUACGGCAAUGCAUUGGGUGUCCCGACUAUCGUUUCAACGGUAGAACUUGUGUGUGCAAGUCCACUGGGAUAUGGUGUGGAGUUGGUGAGGAAGAACAAAGCUCAGAUGGGUAAAGAAUACAUGCAAUCACUGGCCCAUUUUUUGGUGAUCAGAGGACGGCCUCCGCCUCCAAUGGCUUGGAAUGUGUUUAUAGUUUCUGAUAAUAGACACACUGGUUUGGGAGAGUUUGAUGUUGGGUGGGGAAGACCAGUAUAUGCUGGACUUGCGAGGGCAGUCCAUGUGAUCAGCUUCUAUGUCCGAGAAAACAACCAAGAAGAGGAAUUUAGAAUUUUGGUGCCCAUAUGCUUGCCAAGAAUGUGUUUGGAGAGGUUUGAGCAGGAGCUCAAGAGGAUGAUAUUGGAGCACGUCGAUGAUGUAUCUAAAUAAGACGCAAGGAUUAUGUGUGUGUGAUUAAGUCUAGUUGUCUUGUGUUGUGUGGGCUAUCAUUUCUAUGGUAGAGUGGGUUUGUUUUCCUCUAUAUGCCUCUUUGCAUUUGGAGUCAGUUUUUUGUUUUUUUGUUUUUUUUGUUUUAAGAAAAUUUCGCAUCAGUCCAAUUCUAAUAAAAGACCAGCAUCCUUUGUAACCUGUUGGCUUGGAAUUACAUUCAAAGCUCAACAGGUCUUGGGUUCGACUGGUAUCGGAUCGAUGUCAAAAUAAGAGAUGUUGGGUGCAACCCACGCAUAAGUUGUUGAUCUAAGUCCUUUGACCACAUGCCUUUUUUUAUUUAUGGAUAUUCAAAUUUAAUUUUUUUUAAUUUUUUAAAAAUCAUUUUGUUGUUCCAAUUAUGCAUUAAGAAGGUAAAUUAUGAAUUUGUAGAACUGGUAAGUUAUUGAUUUGUAGGACAUUAAUUAUUAGAUUUGAUUUAAAUUUUAUUGGAUAUGAGAUUUAGAACAUAUCCUUUGAAUAGAAAUGUAAUAUACACCAGACACAUCCCUUAAAUCACAUCUCCGCUUACAAAUAACACAACACUAUGCCAAAAAUCAUAAAGAUGUCUCUUUCCCAAGUAUACCAACCUAAUUUUUUUAAUCGGAGUUCAUGGAAACUUCAUACCUUAACAAUAGGUAAGGUACCUAUGCAUACACCUCUUGUGCAGGUAACUAAACCCAUAAACCAACUUUAGUCUAGGUCUAGUGUAGGUAAUUAAACCGAAAAGCCAGCUCUUGUCCAAAUAAUUAUACGCGUAAACUGCCUUUAGUCUAGGCAAUUAAACUAAUAUAAUACCUUUGGUAUGCAUCUUUAAACUCAUACUUAAAGUAAAAAGUACCUAUCUAAAAGGUUACAGAAAAAGGGAAAAGAAACUCACAUCUCCACAACAAGUAUACUCACACCUAAGUAUAUUGAAACUCCAUAAAAAUUGCUUUGGAAAACCCAAGAAAAAAAAAAACCUGGAAGACAUCUAUGCGUGUGUAUUAUAUAUAGAGAGAGAGAGAGAGAUUCAAUUAAAAUCACUUGAAUCCUAUAUGAUUUGACCAUUCAAUUAAAUUAUUGAAAUUUGAGGAUUUCUUGAAGCAUCGUGUUCAUUGAUUUUGUUGGUCUCAAUCAGAUGCCUUAAUGAUUUUCAAAUUAUCUGAAUUUUUGCAAGAAUGAUCUAUGAAUUUUUUUUUCUUGCAUUGUAGGUUUUUCAUGGAGUAAUCUUGUUCGUUUAUGUCAGUCUUGAAGUUGGAUCAUCUGCUGUACUUUGGAUUUAACAUCUUUGGUGGUGUUCGUUUUGCAGUCAUGGAACUUCACAUUCAAGUGAUCAUGUUUGUAGUACUCCAACUUCUCAUUCAAUAACAUCAGAGCGUUCUAGUAUUCUCUUGAAAUGUAUUUUGAAAUGUAUAGGAUAGCAGGUGGGGUUAAAUUUGAAGAGUACUAAGAGCAUCUCCAACAGAGUUGCUAUACUCUGAUUCUUAACCAUUUUGGCUAGAAUGAGGGAAAAACGCAACUUCAGUAGAUUUGCUAUUAAGCUCUCUAUUGUGGACAACUCUCUAUUUGAGUUUGGUGGCUCUCUACAUAUAGAGAGGAGGAGAGAGAAAUUGAGGGUCCAUAGAAGUAAUUUUACAAAGGCAUUAAUUUGUAUUUAAAAUUUUAAAAAUAAAAUGAGUAGGAAAAUAGGAUAGGAAAUGGAAAUAAUAGCACUUAAUGAAAAAGGAAUGAAGAACGUGAAUCAUUCAAAAUGCAUGAGAAAUUGAAGAAUAAUUUGAAUCACUAAUCGAAACCACAUUCACACGCGGUGGCAUCCGUAAGACCAAUAAUUUUAUGGUGUCUGUUGGUCCCAAAUAAGACCAAUAAUUGUAGCAUGUCUGUUUCUAGAGGUGGCAUCCUUAAAAUGGACCACAUGUGGGUCUGCCUUCUUGAAAAGAUUGUACAAAUUAAUUAGUGAUGAGAAAAAUCGGGUGAAAUGUAUACUUUUCUCUUCAGCAAUGUGACACAAUUAAAUGUUGAAGGAUUACAGAAUUAAAAAAAUUCAUUUAACAAACAAAUUGAAAACUGAGGAAGAAAUAGGGGACUAUAGAUAUAAUCUUGUAAUAAUGGAAUUCAUUGUCUUUGAAAAUGGUGAAUCUCCAUAUUCAUGCAGGUUUUAGCUUCAAGAAGUUAGAAUAUAUGUAUUCACAGGCCUGAGUGGCUUUGGCUCUUCUUCCUUUCUCAAAUACAAAGAUGAAAAUGGGGUAUUGGUACCAAUAUGCUUGCCAUUAUCGGACAUGGAGAGAUUUCAGCAGGAGCUCGAGAGGAUGACUCUGGAGCCUCUGAAGGAUAUUUAUGACAAUAAAUCAGCUAGGAUCACGUCAAGGAUGUAAAAAAUUCAUCAAAUGUCAGAUCGCUUAGUGUAUGGUGUCAAUGAAUUUUGGAAUGUAACAUAAGAACUAGAUGCAAGGUUUGUGUCAACAUAAAAAUAAAUUGCAAUCUAAUUGGCAAUGUGCUGUAAUUCGGGGAAAAAUAAAACAUAAUUUGGUGUUUGUGAACCAUAAUUGAAAUCCACGCGUACAAAUGAGUUCAUAUUAUAUGGGUAGACACUUACCUUCCUCAAACUAAACAUAGAAGGAUUGAAUAAUUGUGAAUGAUAUUAUACUUCUCUAAGAGGAGGAUAUAUAUACAAGUACAAGUUGACUUUUCUUACAAGGAAAAGUAAUUAGCUAAUUACAAGGAAUCCUAACUAGGUAACUAUUCGAAUUAUACAGGUAACAUGAAUUACUCCAAGAAAUCAGGGAUCACGGAAUUCCUGAAUUAUGGCUCACGCCAAUAUUACCCCUCAAGUUGGUGCAUGGAUAUCUCCUAUGCCCAACUUGUCAAGUGAUUUAUGAAAAACCUUUGCUAACACCACGUGCGUAAAGACAUCUGCCAUCUACUCUUCUGACAUUACAAUGGUAUAUUGAUUAGCUUAUCUACCAGUUUCUCCUUGAUAUAAUGCCUAUCGACUUCAACAUGCUUAGUUCUAUCAUGUUGAACUGGAUUAUUUGCUAUCUCUCUCGCAGCUUGGUUGUCACAGUAAAGCUCAAUGACUUUCUUUGGUGGAAAACAAAUUUUGGACAUGAGUAUCCUUAGCCAAUAAAGCUCGAAAACUCCAUGUCCUAUGCCCCUGUAUUUUGCCUCAGUUGAAGAUCGAGCCACUACAUUCUGCUUUUUACUUCGCCAUGUAACCAUAUUACCCCCAAUGAAAGUGAAGUAACCUGAUGUAGAACGUUUAUCUGUUAUAUUACUUGCCCAAUCUGCAUUUGUAUAACCCUUGACAUCCAAAUGUCCUAGUUUUCUGAAUAUCAAACCUCGGCCUGGUGCUUUCUUCAAAUAACUGAAAAUCCUCAUAAUUGCUGCUAAGUGAUCCUCACUAGCAGAAUGCAUGAACUGGCUAGCAACACUAACUGCAUAUGUGAUAUCUGAUAUAGUGUGUGAAAGAUAAAUUAGUCUUCCCACUAACCUCUGGUAUCUCUCCUUGUUGGUUGGCACUUUGAUCAUGAUAGAUUGCUAGUUGAUGAUUCCGCACAAUAGGGGUUUCGGCUGAUGCACAUCCUAACAUACCAGUUUCUGUUAAUAGGUUUAGAACAUACUUCCUUUGAAAGAGACAAAUACUAGUAGUAGAGCGAGUUACUUCGAUUCCCAAAAUACUUCAAAGCCCCCAAGUCCUUCAUCUCAAACUCUAAGGCUAAGUACUUCUGUAAUUUACCUAUUUCAACAAUAUCAUCAUCAGUAACUACUAUAUCAUUGAAUAUGUUAUCAACAAACUAAUCUUACCAUCCCUACGUUUGAUCAAUAAGGUAUGAUUUGAGUUACCUUGAUGAUAUCCAUACUUCUUCAUUGCUUCAGUGAACCACCCAAACCAUGCUCGCGGAAACUGCUUCAAUCCAUAAAGGGCCUUUUAAAGCCUACACACCUUCCAACUAUUAUUAGACAACCUAUAGCUAGGUGGCAUGUCUAUGUACACUUCUUCUUCUAGAUGUCCAUGAAGAAAGGCAUUCUUCACAUUGAAUUACUUGAGAGGCCAAUCUAAAUUAGCUGCUAAGGACAAUAGAACUCGCACCAUAUUUAUUUUUACCACCGGUGCAAACGUAUCCUGAUAAUCGACUCUAUAUGUAUGCGUAAACCCUUUGGCCAUAAGUCUUGUUUUAUAUCUAUCUAUCGUGUCAUCAGCUUCGUGUUUAACUGUAUACACCCAUCGACAUCUAACAAGUUUCUUUCCUUCAGGUUGCAGAACUAUCUCGCGUGUUCUAUUCUUCUGUAAGGCCUCCAUCUCCAUAUUCAUUACUUCCACCUAUUUUGGGUCUUGCAAAGCUUCUUCCAUUCUAUUAGGAAUUUGAAUUCCUUCCAUCUGAUUGAAAAUUGUUUUAGCGUGAGGAGACAAUCUGUGUGUGGAGACAUAAUCAACAAUGGCAUAUUUCACCUUGCCUUCUGGUGAGAACUUGUGUGGUGGUAUUCCUUUGUUUGCUCAUGAAGGUAAUUUUUCACAAUUUGAACAGUAUUUUAAGAAGCAUUGGGAUAUGAAGGACUUACCUCAUGGAUGUUCAAUGGAGCAUGUGCAAGUAUGUUAGAGAGAGGGGGGUUGUUGUUGUCCAAUUCGAGAUCGCUGAUAUCCAGUUUGGCUCGGCUGUUUAGCUUGGCUCGGCUGGACUGGUCAGUAGCCUGAUUCUAGUAGCUGCUUGGCUAGACUUAUGUGCUUUCCGUAUUAUAUUAUCCCCUUGAAAGACAUGAUUGGGCAUGUCUGACACAAAAAACAUACUUAUUAAAACAAAAAGAGAGAAUCCAUACUUAAAAGCAAGUACAAAAUAAGUGAUGGAAAACAAGGAAAUAUAUAUAUACACACACACAGACGAUCCACAUUUUGUAAACCUACGGUUGUCCACUUUGUAACUUAUUUUUUUGUAGAAGAGGUGGAUUUGAUUCGUGCAAUUCCAAUUAGCACUAGAAAGCUAUUGGAUUCAUUGAUUAAAAAUGGCAGUUUAGUACAAAGUGCUUAACACGUUGCAAGAGCGUUGAGAGCAACCAAUGGUACUGCUUCUUCUUCUGCAUCUCCAUAUUCCCAUAUUUGGGAUACUUUUUGGGGGGCCCACACCUCUGCCAAGGUGAAAGUAAUCUAGCAGCAUGUAAGCUUUUACUUGCAUAUACAUAUAUAUUGGCAAAUUUGUGGAUAACCGUAGUUUAACAAAAGAACAGAGAGAGAAGGAGGAGAAAUCACGCAGAAGAGAAGAGAAAGAAGAUCAGGAUCGAGUCUAGGCGACUGAUACCAUGUUAACAGUAUAAGGAAGAAGAAUUGAGGCUAAAGGAAGAAGAUGAAUAUUGAAGAAGAACUCUUUUAUUUUCAAUCGUAUGAACAAUUACAGAGAGAUUGUGUUUUAUAUCAGAUCUUUAGCCUAUAACUAAUGCUUAACAGACUAACUAAUUACAGCUGUGACAUGUGAGCCACACGUGCCAACACUAACAAACUCUUAGCUAACUAUUACUGUUAUCACACAUCAGCAUUUUUAACAGGAUUUUUGACGGACUUGACAGUACUGGGAAUAGUGAAACACAAAACAUCGGUUAAGGGAGUAAAGUAGGUCACUUUAAGUUUUAUGGUGUAAUGCGAGAUUUUAUCAUAGUUUCAGCUUCAGGGAUACUGUAAUAAUUAAGAAAAAGGAAUGAAGAACGUGAACCAUUUAAAACGCAUUAGAAAUUGAAGAAUAAUAAGAUUCAUGAAUGGGAAGAAUUAUUAACUCAAGCCCACCAUGUCAAGACAGAACGAACCUUUUACAUGCGUUGUCCUCCUCAUGUUGUGUAUGUGUUGUACCUGUUGCUAAUUGAACUGUGAAGUGUUCAUCUUAUCCACAUAUACGUUAACAAAUAUGAACCCGCAAAUUUUGAACCGUCAGUAAUAAUCAGAGCUUAUAAUAUAAACCAAGUAUUUGUAGUGUAGGACCUUAUAUAUUUGGUGUAAAAUAUAACCUGUAGUGUAGGACAUGAUCCAACGGCCUCAGAGCCUUGAGGUGUGGCUGGGAGGUGGAGGUUGACAAGGUGGUGGGUGGUUGUUGGAGAGAGAGCAGAUAGAAUGGUGGUGGCGGCUGGGAUUGGAUUGGAUGGUGUUGUCUUGUUUUUUUUAAUUUCUUUUUAUUUUGAGGAUCUCAUUUUUAUUUAUGUAGUUUUUAUAUAUUUAUUUUUAAAAUUGAAUUCAAUUAUUUAUAUAUUAGUUUUUUGAAUUUUUUUAACCAUAAAUUAACGGAUUGGACCACAUUGCCUAACAGUACUAAACACAAUGACUAAUAAAUUGGCCAAAUUGUAAACAUGGAGACUAAAUUGGCCAACACUUUAAGACACAGAGACCAUCUUGACAUUUAAGUCUAAAAUAUAUCUGACUCUUCAUUAUAACCAUUAAUAAAGAACAUAAGAGGGUUUAGAACACCCAACUUUUAAUGCUUUUGAAAUUGAUUUUGGAUUUUUUUUUAUAAAAAUAAGCGAUAGUUUAGUAGAAUGGAAACAAUGUUACAAAGAAAUGAAUUUGUCUUUAAAAUUUUGAAGAUAAGGUGGGUGAGAAACUAGAGUGUACAUAGCAACACUCAAUGAAAAAGGAAUGAAGAACGUGAUGCUAAAAUAUGAAAACUAUGAGAGAAUAUUUGUUUCUGAGAAUUUUCUGUGUAUUCUUCUCCUUGUAAGAGGUCAUAUUUAUAAUACAACGAAACCUGAAUGGGCAAGUAAAUAAUAAAUUCCUAAAUCUAUUUACAGUAGGAAAUCAGGAAUUAAAGUAAAUCAAUUACAAUUAUAAUAGGAAUUCUUGGUGUGUAAGGAAAGUAAGUCAAUAUCCACAAGUCACGCCAACACUCCCCCUCACGUUGGUGCAUAGAUGUCGCCAAUGCCCAACUGAUCUAGUGAAUUGUGAAAUGCUUUACUGGAAAUUGCCUUUGUCAAAAUAUCCGCUAAUUGAUCCUCGGAUUUCACAAAAGGAAACUAAAACACUUUAGCCUCAAGAUUCUGUUUGAUGAAGUGUCGAUCCACCUCAACAUGUUUAGUACGAUCAUGUUGAACCGGAUUCUGUGUAAUGGCUAUAGCAACCUUGUUGUCACAAAAGAGAUUCAUUGUAGAUGUAGGUUUAUACCCAAGUUCAGUAAGCAACUUUCUUAACCAAAGAAGUUCACAAAUCCCUUUAGUCAUGCCUCUGAACUCGGCUUCUGCACUGGAUAAAGCUACUACAUUCUGUUUCUUGCUUCUCCUUGUCACCAAAUUACCUCCCACGAAUGUGAAGUAACCUGAUGUGAAUUUUCUAUCUGUUACAUUACCUGCCCAAUCUGCAUCUGAAUAACCAUCGAUAUUUAGAUGACCAUGCUUUGAGAACAUAAGUCCUUUUCUAGGUGCAGACUUCAAAUAUCUAAGUAUCCGAAGAACUGCAUUCAUGUGGUCUUCGCUUGGAGAGUGCAUAAAUUGACUAACAAAGCUCACUGCAUAAGCAAUGUCUGGUCGAGUAUGUGACAAAUAGAUCAAUCUUCCCACUAACCUUUGGUAUCUUUCUUUGUUAGUUGGAACUUGAUCCGGAUAUUCUCCAAGAUGAUGAUUCUGAACAAUAAGAGUGUCCGCAGGUUUACAAUCUAGCAUUCUUGUGUCUGUCAACAAGUCUAAGACAUAUUUCCUUUGAGAGAGAAAUAUGCUUUGCUGCAAUCGAGCCACCUCAAUUCUCAAGAAAUACUUGAGUCCACCUAGAUCCUUCAUCUCAAACUCCGUAGCCAAAUAGUCUUGUAGCUGUGAUAUUUCUUGUUUAUCAUUCCCAGUAAUAAUCAUAUCAUCAACAUAGAUUAUUAAUAUUGUUACCUUCCCUUUUCGAUGUUUCAAGAACAGAGUAUGAUCUGAGUUGCACUGUUUGAAACCAUUGUUCUUCAUUGCCAUGGUGAACCGUCCAAACCAUGCACGUGGUGACUGUUUCAAUCCAUACAAUGCUUUUCGUAACCUGCAAACUAUUCCAGUCUGAGUAGUAUUAUAUCCACGAGGAAUGUCCAUGUACACCUCCUCCGUGAGUUCGCCAUGUAGAAAAGCUUUCUUUACAUCAAAUUGGUGUAGUGGCCAAUCCAAAUUAGCUGCAAGGGACAAUAAGACUCUGACGGUGUUUAACUUUUCAACUGGAGCAAAGGUUUCUUCAUAGUCUAUACCAUAGGUCUGUGUGUACACUUUUGCCACAAGUCUUGCCUUGUAUCACUCGAUAAAUCCAUCUGCAUUGUGUUUUAUAGUAAACACCCAUCUAUACCCGAUAGUCUUUUUUCCUCAGGGUAUAGUCUUCAAUGUCCAAGUCUGAUUUUUCUCAAGGGCUUUCAUCUCCUCUUUUAUAGUUUGGACCCACUUAGGAUCUUUCAAUGCUUCAGAGACCUUGGUUGGAAUAUGGAUAGCAGACAACUGAUGCACAAAAGCCUUGAGUGGUUCAGACAGCUUCUUAGUGGAUACAUGAUUUGCAAUUGGAUACUUGGAUGUCUUGCCAAUAUCAGGUGAAUAACGGUUUCCUGGCUUCCCACGAUUUUGCCUGAAAGGUAAUUGAUAUCCAAUAGUUUUAUCAUCUAAAUGCACAAGUCUAGUAGAAGUAGUUACCUCAAGGAUAUUCUCAGGAGAUUGGUCUGUUGGUACUGUUGAGUUAGAGGAGGGGUAUUCAUCUUGUUGUUCUGUAUUGUAUGUAGGUGUGAGACUCGGAUCAGAAAUAUCUUCGCAUGGAUCAGGUGGGUCAGGCAAUUGAUCUCUAUGAGUGGGCAAUUGGUCGCUUUUCGACAGAGAGUAAUCUCGUGCUCCAGACUCAGGAUGAUCAAUCAUUUCCGUACAGAGGAGAAUUUCUUUAUUUUCCAAGUUGCUCCAAUUCUGCUCGUCACUUCGUAUCUCCCCCUGAAGCGUAGAAUUGGAUGAUGGGUCAUGGAAGAACAGCUCAGAUUCCAGAAAGUUCACAUCCAAAGUGAAAUAGGUUUGUUGGGUAUAAGGGUGAUAACAGCGGUAGCCUUUCUAAUGAGUAGCAUAACCCACAAAAACACAACGAAGCUCACAUGGAUCAAGUUUGCUACGUUGAUUUUUGUGGAGAUGAACGAAAGCCACACAUCCAAAGAUUCGGGGUGUGAGUACCAAAACAGAAGGCAGAGGUCUGUGUUGUGCAAGCACCUGUAAGGGAGUUUUAAAAGUCAGUACACCAGAAGGCAUGCGGUUGAUCAGAUGAGCUGCGUUGACAAUAGCAUCAUCCCAAUGAUGGCGAGGAACAUAAGCGCCAAUCAGAAGUGCUUGGGCGGUUUCAAGAAGAUGUCGAUUCUUUCGUUCAGCAACACCAUUUUAUUGCAGUGUCUGAGGACAAGUCGUCUCAUGGAUAAUUCCAUGUUGUUGGAAGUAAGUCUGAAAGUCAUGAUUGACAAAUUCUCCACCAUUGUCUGAGCGAAGAAUCUGGAUUUGAGCAUUAAACUGAAUUUUCAUAUAUUUGUAGAAGGACUGAAAACAGGAAAACACUUCAUUUUUAUUCUUCAGUAAAUAAAGCCAUGUCAUCCGUGUACAAUCAUCGAUGAAUGUGACAAACCAUCGAACACCAGAAUGAGCAGUGAUAGGAGAAGGUCCCCAGACAUCAGAGUGAAUUAAAGUAAAUGGAGUAGUACACUUGUUCGUACUCAACGGGUAGGGCACACGGUGACUCUUGGCCAAAAUACAAGUAUCACAUGUGAAGUCGGAGUCAUUGAAACCUGAGAAUAAAUCUGGUAUAAGAUGCUUCAUAUAACUAAAAGACGGAUGUCCCAAUCGACUGUGCCACAACCAGAUUUACUUUUGUUUGCUAUUAAAGGGAUGUGUCGCACUGUUAGCCACGCCGGGACUGAAGUCAUCGACAUAAUAUAGCCCCCCUCUCUUAAUACCACGACCAAGAAUCUCCUUAGUGCGAAUAUCCUGAAGUAAACAAAAACCCGGGUAAAUAAGUACACAACAAUUCAAUUGUUCAGUAAGCUGACUAACUGACAACAAUUUAGUGGAUAAAGAUGGAACAAGUAAAGUAUUAGACAGUGUGAGAGAGGAUGAGAGUGUAACAAUGCCAGCCCCUAUCACAGGAUAAGUAACACCAUUGGCAUUUGCAAUACAGGUUCGUCGAGGUUGUGUAGUAUUCAAAAAAAUCAUCAAGAUCAAACGUCAUAUGAUCAGUUGCACCAGAAUCAAUUAUCCAGCUCCUGGAAUCAAUCUUAUCAGAAGUAUAGAAUCCAUAACCAGUACCAUUACUGGUCAUAUUGCAUUGUCCUCAAUCUGUAAUAGUAGCCCACCAAUUGGGGUAGCCAUGCGAUUUAAAACAAGUCUCACAAGUGUGUCUCGGAUUACCACAAUAUGCGUAAUCUGGUCCAUGUGUCGGGGUCGUUAGUCUAGAAGUCAUAAUCUGGGCAGCGGAAGAUGUAUAGGAUACAUGUUGAGUAGGAAUUUGGAUCGGAAUCUGAGCCUGAGUCGGGGCCGGAGUCGGAGUCGAAAUCGGGAUCAGGGUCUGAAUCAGAGACAAAUUCGGGGUUGGGGUCAUCAUCGGAGUGGGGGUCGGGGUCGGGGUCGGGGUAGUCAAAAGAGGAUCCUGAUUCUGGAUCGAGUUCGGGGUCAAAGUCUGCAUCUGUAGGAGCGAAGCUAUCUGGACACUAAACUGAACGAUGGUUGGUUGAGAAUGAGAGAAGGAGUCGGUGGUGCUACCUCCAUCAGGGUUGAAAAAAUCAGCAACCCCCAUAGCAGCGGCGGGGGUUUGAAACUAGAGUCAGCAAUUCCAAGAUCGCCGCUCUGAUACCAUGCUAAAAUAUGAAAACUAUGAGAGAAUAUUUGUUUGUGGGAAUUUUUUGUGUAUUCUUCUCCUUGUAGGAGGCCAUAUUUAUAAUACAACGAAACCUGAAUAGGCAAGUAAAUAAUAAAUUCCUAAAUCUAUUUACAGUAGGAAAUCAUGAAUUAAAGUAAAUCAAUUACAAUUAUAAUAGGAAUUCUUGGUGUGUAAGGGAAGUAAGUCAAUAUCUACAAGUCACGCCAACACGUGAAUCAUUCAAAACGCAUGAGAAAUUGAAGAAUAAUUUGAAUCACUAAUAAUCCAAAUCUUUUCCAUGCGUGGUCCUUAUGCUUUAUAUCCGUGGCACCGUCUAUCAAUUUGACUGGAUUGUGUGAAAUGGAAAAGAAAAGUGGCACAAGUAACCUUUUGUGGCACCGUCUAUCAAUUGAUGUCAAGCCCCAGAAGCUCAAACACGUCUAUAAAUAUAUACCUGUCUAUCAUAAGUGUAGUACUUGUGCUUUUAUUUUAAAGUUUACAAAAUUUUCUUUGGUAGGUUUUCAAGCCCACUCACUUGUGCAAUGAUUUCCCCAUCCGCCCUCCUAUUUCAGGUGAACCGUUUGAAGCCAGAACUUAUAACACCGGCGAAGCCAACACCUCAUGAAACAAAGCCAGAACUGAAUUUACCACUUAUUUGUAUCUUUAAAAAUAAAAAUAAAAAUAUUAAAAAAACAUAAAAAGGAAAAAGGAAAAUUAAUUUCCCAGCAACCAGCAGGUUGAACGACGAAGGCCCUUCCACCACCUUACUGCUAUGGAAAUCUGUCACUGCCAAGUUCCUCAAAGACUUAUUGGCUUAUUGGCCUCCGUAUGAAGCCUAUAUUGCCAUAGAGGAUUCAGUGUAUUCAUCAAUACCAUAAACCCACCUCCUUUUAGAUCCUCAAUCUAUUUCAUUGAAACCUACAUUGAUGGAGAGAGAAGAUCAACCAUGGCAAUUAUUAUGUCUACGAGAUGAUGACUCUGAAGCCUCCUUUUAAUGUUCAAGGUUGUGUUGCGAAGGUGUGGGGAAGGGCAGAGCGAAUUAGGGGCUAAUAGAUGGGGAGUUGGGGUUAGGAGAUACCAUGUAAGGGCUGAGAACAAUGUGCAGAGAGAGGGAGACAAGAAAAACAAUUUAAACAUUAAAAUUUUUUAAAGAAAAUAUUUCAUUUAUUAUUUUUUCACAUCUGGCCCUUGCGUGGCAUAUAUUUCAGCAAAGAAAUGGGUCGCAUUGAUGCCACAUCAGCAUUUUUAACUGGAUUUUUGACGGACUUGACAGUGCUGAGAAAAGUGAAAUACAAAACAUUGGUUAAAGGAGUAAAGUAGGUCCCUUUAAAUUUCAUGGUGUAAUGCGAGAUUUUAUCAUAGUUUCAGCUUCAGGGACACUAUAGUAAUUAAGAAAAAUGAAUGAAGAACAUGAACCAUUUAAAACGCAUGAGAAAUUGAAGAAUAAUAAGAUUCAUGAAUGGGAAUAAUUAUUAACUCGAGCCCACCAUGUCAAGACAGAACGAACAUUUUACAUGCGCUGUCCUCCUCAUGUUUUGUAUGUGUUGUACCUGUUGCUAAUUGAACUGUGAAGUGUUCAUCUUAUACACAUAUACGUUAACAAAUAUGAGGACGACAUAUACCCGCAAAUUUUGAACUGUCAGCAAUGUGGUCCAACCCGUUAAAUUCACGGUUUAACAAACAUUAUCCACUUUUUUUUGUCUUUUAAAAACAUAAAAACUUUUAUUAAAAUUAAUAAAAAUAUUUGAAUUAAUUUAAAAAUAUUAACUUACUCUUAGGGCCAGUUUGGCAUUGCUGUGCUGUGAAAAUAAUCGCUGUCAGAUUUGCUGUGAGAGAAAUCAGCUGUGAGAAAAAGCAGUUUGGCGUUUGGUAAAAUUUUGUUAAAAGUAUUGUUGGUAUUGAUUUUAUGCAUAAUCAAAAAAUGAUUGCCGCAUAAUCAUUAAACCCAGCGCCUCUUCAAAACUGAUUCCUGCAUAAUCAAAAAAUGAAAGCAGCUAAUUAGCUGCUUUCCCUUAUAGCUUUCUCUCACAGCAAUUUUUAACAAUAAGUGAUUUUCUCACAGUUUACCAAAUGGGUUGGGCUUCUCAAAAUUUUUAAAAAAAUCACUUAUUACCCCAAAUAAGCAAUGCCAAACGGGCACUUAAUUUCGGGCUGAUUGAUGAAGUCCUUCUAUAACUACAAAUAUUUUAAAAGAUUACAUAAUUUUCAGUUCAAAAAACGAACUUAACAUUGUUUCUCUUUGACAAAUUGGAAGCUUUAGCACAGAGCUAUUUCUGGUUCACAAUGACAGAACAUGAUCCAACGGCUUCGGAGCCUUGAGGUGUGGCUGGGAGGUGGAGUUUGACAGGGUGGUGGGUGGUUGUUGGAGAGAGAGAGAGAAGAUAGAAUGGUGGCGGCGGCUGGGAUUGGAUGGUGUUGUCUUGUUUUUUUAUUUCUUUUUAUUUUGUGGAUCUCAUUUUUAUUUAUGUAGUUCUUAGUUUUUAUUUUUAAAAUUGAAUUCAAUUAUUUAUAUUAGUUUUUUGAAAGUUUUUUAACCGUAGAUUAACAGAUUGGACUACAUUGCCUAACAGUUUUAAACACAAUAACUAAUAAAUUGGCCAAAUUGAAAACACAGAGACUAAAUUGGCCAACACUGUAAGACACAGGGACCAUCUUGACAUUUAAGCCUAAAAUAUAUCUAACUCUUCAUUAUAACCAUUAAUAAAGAACAUAAGAGGGUUUAGAACACCCAACUUUUAAUGCUUUUGAGAAGAAAAUUGAUUUUGGAUUUUUUUUUAAAAAAGCAAUCUUUAAAAUUCUCAAGAUAAGGUGACUGAGGAAAUGAAUUACGAGUGUAAAUAGCAGCACUCAAUUAAUGAAAAAGGAAUGAAGAACGUGAAUCAUUCAAAACGCAUGAGAAAUUGAAGAAUAAUUUGAAUCACUAAUAAUCCAAAUCUUUUCCAUGCGUGGUCCUUAUUUUUUAUAUUUGUGGCAUGGAAAAGAAUUUGAAUCACUAUCAAUUUGACUGGAUUGUGUGAAAUGGAAAAGAAAAGUGGCACUAGUAUAGUAACCUUUUGUGGCACCGUCUAUCAAUUGAUGUCAAGCCACAGAACCACAAACACGUCUAUAAAUACUUACCGGUCUAUCAUAAGUGUAGUACUUGUGCUUUUAUUUUAAAGUUUUCAAAAUUUUCUUUGGUAGGUUUUCAAGCCCACUCACUUGUGCAAUGAUUUCCCCAUCCGCCCUCCUAUUUCAGGUGAACCGUUUGAAGGCAGAACUUAUAACACCGGCGAAGCCAACACCUCAUGAGACAAAGCUACUCUCUAAUAUUGAUGACCAGGAAAGCCUUAGGUUUCAGGUUUCAGUCAUAAUGUCUUACAAGAACAAUCCUUCAAUGAAAGGAAACGAUGCCGUUGAGGUGAUCAGGGAAGCAUUGAGUCGGGCACUCGUGUAUUACUACCCUUUGGCUGGCAGGCUCAGGGAAGGACCUAAUAGGAAGCUUAUGGUGGAGUGCAAUGGAGAAGGUGUCUUGUUCAUAGAGGCUAAUGCUGACGUCACGCUUGCGCAACUUGGGGACACCAUUGCACCCCCUUCUCCAUUCUUAGAGGAGUUUCUUUAUAAUGUUCCAGGCUCUGAUGGGAUUCUUGGUUGCCCUCUGUUGCUGAUUCAGGUGAGUAUUUGUUAGUUAACUGCAUGUUAAUUAGUAUCUGUUUUUGAAUUUCUUGGUGGAUCUUGGCCCUUCUAUACAAUGAAAGUUUCUGAUUGCUGGAAUUUACUUCCAUGGAAUCUUUGCCUGUCCACUACUGUUAAUUUGUACCAUAUUGGUCCCAAAUAAAACCAUCUACUGACUUCUAAGAUUGUACAAAUGGUGAGAAAUAUCAGGUGAGUUAAAACAAAGUUUGAUAUACAAAAAACUAAUAAAAAAUAUCUAGCCUCAUAGUUCUCAAGUACUAUAUGUUGCUCUGAGUUGUUGUCUCUUCCAACGGGAAAAAAGAUAGUUGGAUCUAGGUGGAUAUCUUUACCAUAAAAAAAGAGCAAUAGCAACCUUUUGUCACUAACUAAUUGGUAUUGGUUACAAUUGAAUGGUUGGUCAAUGCUUUUGUUUACUUAUCACUAUUAUUUGUGAUUAAUUUCUCACAUUUGAAUACUUUGGUGACAGUUGACUUAAAUAUAAUAAAUAUAAAACUAAUUAUUGUGAUUAACACCGAAACAGUAAUUUUUCAUGAUUAAUAUUUGAUUAGAGCCUUUGCUAAUAAUUGUAAUCCAAUAAAAUAUUCGGGGGAUUACCCAACCUCUCGUUCUCUCUCCUCAACCUCUCGUCUCCUACUCCUCAAACAAAUCGAAACUUACUCCUUUUCUUUUGUAAGCUCUUCUCUCCCAAAACAAUCCCUUUCUCGUCUGAUUAGUCGUACCAAAUUUUAUAACAUUUGAAUUAGCAAAAGUAUUUUCUUGAAUAUGAGUUAGUCGUACCAAAUUUUUAAGCUAGUGGCUUCCCAUCGAGAAAGCUCUACCUUCAUGAUUCUAUUACUUCCUAAGUUUUAAUGAAUAAUUGAUUUUCUAUAAUAAAAGAAACAAACAAAAAGAAAAAAAAAACUCAACUCUCAUAUACAAAUUUGAACUCAAACGUAUCUUUAAACUAGAAAUUGAGUACCAAUAGAAGUCAAACGUAUAUACAAGUAAAAAUGUUAGGACACCAAAAUUAUACACCAAAAUUGAAUUCCGAAUGAGAGGUGGCAUUAGCCACAUCAUCAGAUUUUCAAUUAAAUUUGACACAUGGUUAAUCUAUUUUAUCACUAAAAUUUAAAAACUAAUUUGUGAUUUAACCUAAAAAUUCACCACUACAAAACGCCCAUGUUUUAUUAACACUCCUCCGUUGUUCCGCCGGCUGAACUGCCCUUUACUAAUUUUAUUUUCUUAUUCUAACCCCAAGUAUAAUCAACAAAAUAAACUUCAAUAUGUACACCCAUCAAAUACGGGAUUUAUAGAAAGGAUUUCAUUGAAACUCAAUGUCAUUAUUCGAGGUUUUGGGAUCCUGCCUUUGAAACUGGAAAGCCCACAUGUUCGCCCAUAAAAGAAGGGACAUUUUUGCUACGAGGAUUAUAUGAUCCAAGGUCGGCCUCGUAUUUAUUUCAUGAUUAAUUUGGAUACCUGGUGGUCUAGAGUGGUGAGGAGCAACGCAGUAGGCGGCAGGCACGACGGAGGGAGGAUUGGUGGUUGUAAGUAAAACACGAGUAUUCUGAAGUGGUGGCUUUUCAGUUAACUCAUAAAUUAGUUUUUAAAUUUUUUUGUCUAAAUAAAUAAAUUAAUGAUUAGCACAUGUCUCAAUUUUAAUUAAAAUCUGAUGAUGUAUAAAUUUGGUGUCCCUAGCAGUACUCAUAUACAAGACCCUUGCUGAAUUUAUUAUACAGGUAACCCGUCUUUCAUGUGGAGGUUUUAUACUUGCAUUGCGCCUAAAUCACACAAUGUGUGACGCAGCUGGGCUUCUCCAGUUCUUGAACGCCGUUGGGGAGAUGGCACAAGGCGCACAAGCGCCAUCUACUACACCAGUGUGGGAGCGAGAGCUCUUGGGUGCUCGAGAUCCGCCACGAAUUACCUGUGCGCAUCAUGAAUAUGAAGAAGGGAUUGAUGCUCAAGGCUCAUUUCCAAGCACUAACAAGCCAAACAUGGUCCAACGAUCUUUCUAUUUUGGGUCCAAGGAGAUAAAGGCCAUUCGGAAUCAUAUUCCACCGCAGUUAUCAACCUGCACUACAUUUGAUUUGAUAACAGCUUGUUUGUGGAAAUGCCGCACACUUGCACUUAGAAUGAAUCCAAAACAAGUUGUUCGCCUUUCAUGCUUAGUCAGUGCACGCGGUAAGCGCCACAAUGUACGUCUUCCCUUGGGAUAUUAUGGCAAUGCGGUUGCAUUUCCUGCUGCAGUUUCAGAGGCUAAAGAUGUAUGUACAAAUCCAUUGGGAUAUGCUUUGGAGUUGGUAAUGAAGGCAAAAGCUACAGUGAAUGAAGAGUACAUGAGAUCAGUCGCAGAUCUUAUGGAAAUAAGAGGACGACUACCAAAAUAUCCAUUGACAGGAAACUUCAUAGUUUCCGAUACAUCGCGUGCAGGUUUUGGAGAGGUCAGUUUUGGUUGGGGCAAGCCGGUAUUUGGUGGACCUGCGAAGGCCUUGGAUUUGAUUAGCUUCUAUGUUCAACACAAAUGCAACAAUGAGGAGGGGGUAUUGGUACCAAUAUGCUUGCCAUUAUCGGACAUGGAGAGAUUUCAGCAGGAGCUCGAGAGGAUGACUGUGGAGACUGUGCAGACUAUGGAGGAUAUAUAUGACACAAAAUCAGCUAAGAUCGUGUCAAGGAUGUAACAAAUUUUCUCAAAUUUUACAUUUCUAGUGUGAUGUCAAUUGAUUUCGGAAUGUACCAUAAACAUUAGAUGCAAAGGCUUAUGUGUGUGUAUAUGCAUAGCCGCUUCUCUUUUAUGUGCUAUCUCAUGUCAGGUUAUUGUUAUUUUCGUGCAUAUGUAUGCUUGACUUUUUCUAUGAGCUUUAUUCCAACAAAAACUAUUGGGGUUGUAGUUGGAUGACCAUUUUUGGAGUGAAGUUAGCGAGAUCAAACUUUCUCCACCGCUGGUCGCGGCUGCAUGGCCAACCCCUCUCCGGUCAGCCCCAUCACUACCACUAGCAACCAGCAGGCUAAACGACGAAGGCCCUUCCCCCAACUUACUGCCAUGGAAAUCUAUCACUGCCAAAUUCCUAAAGACUUAUUUGCUUAUUGGCAUUCGUAUGAAGCCUAUACUGCCAUAGAGGAUUCAGUUUAUUCUUCAAUACCAUAAACCCACCUCCUGUUAGAUCCUCAAUCUAUGUCAUUGAACCCUACAUUGAGAGAGAGAGAGAGAGAGAGAGAGAGAGAGAGAGAGAGAGAGAGAGAGAGAGAGAGAGAGAAGAUCAACCAUGGCAAUUAUUAGGUAUACUAGAUGAUGAUUCUCAAGCCUCCUUUUAAUGUUCAAGGUUGUGUUGAGAAAUUGUAAGGUAAAGAGAUAUGAAAGAUGGGGAAAAAAGGAAGAUGAGCCACAACCAUGACUGGCCGUUGGGGUGGGGGGACUUGUCGGCGAGGAAGGGUUGGGGCUGCUAUUUUUUUUCUUUAAGUUUUGUAUUUUUAUUUUUUUAAGUUGACAAUGUAAAAAUAAACUUUCAAAUCCAGCUGGAUAAAGAGUUUUAAUUUUUUUUUUUUUAAUAAGACACAUGGCAAAAAUUGAGUUGGAGUAUCACCAACUGACAUGGUUAUACGAUACCAUUCUAUAAUUUUUCGUUCGAGUGGUAUAGAAUCACAACAUCAGUAGGUUAUACUUCCACUCAAAAGUUCCCACAUGGCAUUUUUAAACCAAAGUAAUACUUUUCUUUUCCGAGUUGGAUUUCCAACUCCAAUUUUACCCUUCAACUUUGAUGACCUUCCUCGUCCCCAUUUAUCUAUUCCCUCCCCCACCGUCUUCCCUCCUUUUUUUCAUUCUCCUCCCCCUCUUGUUCAGCUAUGCCAUGCAGUUUUCGCACAAUGGUUUUUGUAUUAAACCCGUAGUUAAGCAAGUUGACCAAUGACAGUUUCUUACAAUUAAUCAGAACUUUUUCCUUUAAAUUUGUACAACAGUUUUAAGCAUUUACCUUGUACAUGAGGACGAUAGAAUAAGACAUUCGUGUCACAUGAAAUGGACGUCAGUGACGUUAACUCACAUCUAACUACACGAGACAGAAACGUGGCCCUUGUAUGAACAGAAUUGUGCAAACGAUUUCUCUCUCCAUCUAAAAUGCGUAAGGGUUAUAAUCAGUAUUUACAACGAUCAUCAAUCGUCUUCAUUUUCUGUCAAAGAAAUUCAUGCACCAGUACACAUUGAAUUUACAGUUGUAGCUUUCACUAAAUUAGUCACGUCUAAUCGAUAGUUGUAGCUAUAGCAUAUGACAAGUCCCCCGUCCUUUAAUUGCAAGGAUUGUCCAAUAUUCAUACAAAAGGAUUUAACAUGCGUAAGUGGUCCUUGUUUUCUAAAAAUAUCUUACUUGUGUGUAUCUGUUGUAUAUGUAUGUAAGCCUUCAAGUGUUCAUCUUAUCUUAUCUAAGGUCCACAUAUUUCUUAACAAAAUGUGGAUGACAUGAACCCAGAAAUUACGAACAGUCAUUACAAGCUCAACUUAUAAUAUAAACCAAGGAUUUGUACCGUCCAGGUUACGUCUUGAUAUACAUUUUACCAAAAAGAAAAAAAAGAGGUCCUGAUAUAUAUUUGACUUCAUCGUAAUAAUUAAAGAAACCGACAAAGCUUUGAAAGGCCCAAUUUUCUAUAUGAAAAAAAAACAAACGAGUCCUAAUUUUUUAUUUUUUUUUAAAAGAAGGAAAUUAACUUUUGAUCUAUAGAUGGUGGAAACUUGAACAUAUGAUAGUACCUAUGAGAAUCACAUGCCUGAUAGAUUAAUAUCUUGCAUAUAUAAUCUAUCUAUAUUUGCUUUGUUUUUGUAUGAAAUUGGUUAGUUUAAUGUGUUUAGUGAGGAUUUUAUAGGCAAUUGUUCCUAACAAAAGUUUGGAGCUAAAACUAUGAUUUUGGAAGCUUAAGGGAUCGAAAUGGGUGAAAUUAUCAAACCAAUGAAAUCUCAAGAACUCACUUUGUCAUUGCAUCAUACACCUGGAGUGCAUCUGUGCUAGUGUCAGUGUAUACCCACAACUAGUCUCAGUGACCAGCGCCAGAAAGAUAGAGUUAGAGAAACUUACCAUCCUUUUUUGGAGCUGAAAUGUAUUAAAUUGAUGGAGGUGCUAGGUUAUGCCCUGUGCAUCUGUCGAGAUUUGGUGUCAAGACCCAUUUGCAUUUGCUGAAGGUUGAUGUCUCUGUAAGCACCAAUGAGCAAUUUGGAAUCUACAAGAAUUAUUUGUUUAGCCAGAGAAGAAAAAAAAAGAAAUGACAGAGAGUUGAUGGGCCGUGAAGAAGAAUUCCUUGAUUAAUUUGUUGAAGCACACAAACUUUGCCUACAUGUAUAUUAGUGAUGAAGACUUACCCGGAAUUGGACCAAUGGUUUAAACAGAUUUCAACAAACCCAAUGGACAAAAACUUCUUGUGAAUUUAUUUACAAGCGCACAAUCCGCACAAGUAAUAUAGAAAUAAGUAAAGUGUCGUUCCCACGAAGAGUGAUUUAAUUUAUUAAGUACCGAUUGUGACUAACCCAAGACUUUAUUUGAAUAAUUGAAUGAUGAGAUUUCGAUUGAUUAAUUAACUAAAAACAAUGAAUAAAAGUAAGCGUAGAAAAAUAAGGUUGUGAGAUUCAAGUUAUGAGAGCAUUAGAGCUUUUGAUUUCACUAUAGUCAAUUCUACCCAAUUCUUUUAGCAUGUUAAUUCUAAUUAUUCUCCAUGUUGACAGUCGAUUUUCCCUACUUUAUUCGAUACUCCAUCCCUGGUUAUACUAAAAGUAUUCUUAUUACCAACCCACUCUAUCUCUAGUAAUGAAAUUAAGAUAAUAAGAACCUAUUAAUUUUUUUGGAAAGCCUGCAAAACAACCACAUAAGUCAUGACAAACAUCCCUAUCUAAUCAUGUAACCCAUGACAACUAUUACAAGAAGCAAACUCCAAAUUGGAUAUCCAUGUCGUCAACUUAGCAUCAAAUCAAUUAAAUAUUGGCCAACCAUUCGAACAUGAAAAAAUACUUGGAAUUAACAUUGACUAAAGUAAUUGAGUAUUCAUGGCUAGGCUACAUCGUAGCCCUAGCAAAAAGGAAUUAGUUCAUCACAACUUUAAUAAAAACCAUGAUAAACAAUGUCAUAGGAAAUAAAAAACCUAUUGAAGAUUUUAUCUCUGCGCUAGGGGUGGGCAUCGGGACCGGAAAACUGGAACACCGAACCAAACCGGUGAAAAAAAACAGGAAAAAAAAUCGGUUGACCAAAAAAGUCAACAAACCGCAGUUCGGUUCCGAUUCCAGUUUUACACCCCACCGCACUGCACCGGACCGAACCGGACCGGUCAUAUAUUUUUUUUUUAUUUUUACAAAUUUUUAAAAUCUAAUGCCAUAUUUUAAAUUUUAUAAUCACUAUUUUUCCAAGUUCAACUUCAAAAAAUUUCUAAAUGUAUGAAUUGGAUUAUUUGUUAAUUUUUAAGCCAAAAAAUAAGUUAUUUAUUAUAAUUUAAAAAAAAAAAAUAUUAUUUUUUUCUAAAAAAUUUAAAAAUUUUAAAAAAUAAUAAUCCGGUUCAAAACCAGAACUGAUCAGAACCGAACCGGCCGGUUUUUGAAAUUUUUUUUGCUUAAACCGGACCAGUUAAAUAGUACCAGUUCCGGUUUGAAGUAAGAACCGGACCGCGCCCACCCCUACUCUGCACAACAGCAACUCUAGCUCUAAGUCGUCUUCCCUAUCUCUCCAAAACUCUCUCUCGUGCCUUUUUGGUCCGUGGUCUCCAAAAAAUAACAUAAUAGAACCCCCCAUAGCCUUAUGUUAAGGCUUAGUAUUUAUAAGCCAAAGGGAAUUGUCCAAAAAUAAAGAAAAUAAUAAUUAUUUAGGAAAUAGAGGAAUAAUAGGAAGGCCAAAAGGCAAAACCCAAACUGAGGAGGCAAAAUAAAAUAGAGUGCAGCUGAGGAAGACUUGGGAAUUAUACAAGUUUUGGACGGUUUUGGCCCGAGUUUUUGACAAGUUCCGUUCACUUUUUCUCCAUGGUCCAAGAACAAAAGUGUCUCCACUCGUUGUCCUGAUCACGUAGGUAUAGGUAUUGAUGGGUGUUUUGAGAAUUUUUCGGUCGCCGGAAUUUCUCAAGACACCCAGGCACUGUCGGGGCAUGUGGCGGCACGUGGGCCAUGUCUGACUGGCCCAUUUGGUCCUAAAAUGAUCCCCAUGUAGUUCCGAGCACGAGGUAUGCUCGGAUUUGAAUUUGGUUAUCGUUUGGUGAUCGAUCGGAUUUACAUAUAUUAGGCGUUAUCCGGGUUAGAUAUGUUCAGACCACUUGAUCGACUCCAUUUUCAAAUAUGUCGAUCUAGGUAUCUCUAGGAUUGUGUAGGAAUUCACGAAUCAAGAAAGGAAUCCCGGAUGCCCCGAUUCAAUGACUUAAAGUUUGCGUUUGAUUGUCGUUUGAUGUUGAAUUCUUAAUCACUGUUCUUAAUAACUUGGUUGAUUAUCUUGAUGCUUGAUCACCAUCAAGCUUACUUCUUGUGAUUAGCAUUUGUAAUUCGUCUAGGGUGAAUACCAUACUUCUAGGGUUUACAUGCUUGUUGGAGGUUUUCACUGAUCUUAAUGAGCUUGUAUGUGUUGAUAUUUCACCUAAAUACCAUAGGUGAAUUGCAUGUAAGAAUAUACUAGUUAGUCUAAAUACUAUACGUAAUUCAUGAAAAAGGAAAACUAAGCGGCGACAUCAAAUAGUCAAAUUUUCAUAUAAAAUUCAGACCAAAUGUCAUCAUGAUCAGACAAUUCUAGGAGUUAUUCCGAGUCUGUUGACAUUCCAAGAAACAAGUUAUGGGUGUUUGAGUUCGUCGCACUAUCUAUCCUCGCUCACUUCGACAUAUUCUAUGCUUUGCUCAUCCACACCUACACAAACCCAGAAAUUCUCACACCCUCUCCCUUUAAUUGAUUUUGCAUGAAUUAGUUUUCUUUAUUUUAAACAUUGAGGAAAAUGUUUGUUUUAAGUUGUAGGUGAUUGAGUUCUUUGGUUUCAUAAUAUACGCAGUAGUCCUCUAUCUUUGUUUAAAUUAUGCUUCAGUAUGGCGAACAUAGUUGACAGGUUAGGGAUUUGCUGAUCGGCGGUGCAACUUUUGACUAACAUAUCGUCAACGUACACCUUCACGGUGUGGCCGAUUAAUGGGGUGAACAGGUUGUUCACCAGGCAUUGCAAAGUAGCUGCCUAAAGGCAUCACCUUGUAACAAUAUAGUCCUCGGUCAGUAAUGAAGGAUAUGUGGGCCCGAUCGUCAGGGCGCAUGAAGAUCUGGUUAUAAUCGGAGUAUGCAUCCAUGACGCUAAGAAGGGCAUGGCCUGCCGUGGAUUCAAUAAGCUGGUCGAUGUGAGGGAGAAGGAAGCUAUCCUUGGGACAUGCUCAAUUGAGGUUGGUGUAGUAUACACACAUGCACCAUCCCUUCUUCAGUUUGUUGACCAUUAGCACAUUUGCCAGCCAUGUGGGAUAGUCCACCUCCUUGAUGAGACCGAUGCUUCGUAGUUUCUCCACCUCUAUCUUCAUGGCUUCAUACCUCUCUGGGUCGUAGGCACGAUGCUUCUAUCGAACAGGUCGUACGGCCGGGUUAAUGCUUAAUCUAUGGGAGAUGAUGUCGGGUGAUAUGCCGAGCAUAUCAUUAUGGGACCAAGCGAAAACCUCCGAGUUCUAGCGGAGGAAGCUGAUGAGUGCGGAGCGAAGAUAGGGUAGAAGGGAAGCGCUAAUUUUUACCUGCCGAUCCGAGAUAUCAUCAUGGAGGCAAACAAGUUCAAGAUCUUCCACUGGUUUGGCCUAAGGAGUGACAGAUUCUUCCCUAGGAUACUCAAGUCGCUCAAUGCCAGUGAAGGGAAGUGGUGGACUAUGGUCACUGAAAGAGCUUCAAGCCGUAGAGGGCAAUUAAUAGAUUUAACCACCGAAGCAUAGUAGCUUAGCGCCAAGUUGGUCAUCUCGCACCAUGCCUGUGCCGUGAAGAGUGGGGAACUUUAGCAUCAACAUAUGUGUGGAAUGAAGACCCUUAUUUGUGCCAAGGUUGGGCAUCCAAGGAUGAUGUUGUAGGCUGUGAGGCAAUCAACGAUUAGAAAGGGACUAGUAACUGUGGCCCAUUGGAGCCGAACCGAUUGAAAUGGGGAGGUGGAUGCUUCGAUUGGGUUGGACCACAUUGCCAGAGAAACUCACAAGAAGCUUGAUGGUUUGAUCAAGCAGGAGGUCAGAGACAUGAAGUUCGUUGAAUGAUUCUGCAAACAUAACGCCAUCAAAGUUAGAAAUGUCUGCCUGAAUAAUCAGCGGAUCAUCGUGGGGAAAACCAUGAUCUUCCUCUUCGCUAAAGAUAAUGGGGUCCCAACCUGUUCUGAACAUUUUCAGCAUGCAUCCAUGCUCAGUGCUAAGGACUUGAUGCACAUAGAAGGACCGGACAUAAUGCUUAAUGAAGUUGUGGGAUGUGCCAGCUAGAGUAAGGCCACCGCUGAUGGUGGUGAUCAUUUUGAUCUGGCGAUAGUGAGGGUUUGAGGGAGGUGGAAGGUUGUGGACAUACUUGUCUAAUCUGCCUUCAUGAAUAAGGCCUUCAAUGAUGUUCCGCAUAGGGAUGCAAGAUUCUGUAUCAUGGUCGUUGAAUUGGUGAAAACGACAGAAGACAUCGAUGUUCGGCGUAGGGUUGUUAGUAGGUCCUCGAGGAGGGGGUUUAGGUAUAAUGGGUGCCUCAUUGACCAGAACAUGCACAUAAGUGGUGUUCAGUGUGGUGAACACUUCAAACUGGGGCUUAGGCUUAUAUGGGAGCGGGGCACGACCAUUUGUCUUUGGGGGUUUGUUGCCACCAGAUUGAUGAUGGUUAGAGUGUCUACUGCAUUUCCCAUUGUUGAAGGAGCGCUGGUAGCCGUCCUUCCUUUUAGGGUUCUGGCAUCCUGAGUGUCAGGGGUAGGAGCAUAACGGUUGGAUUUGGCGAGGGUGGGUGCCGAAGCUUGUGGCGGGUUGCCGAAGGUGGUCCGGGAGUGGUUGACAGGGUUGCGCUUGGAGUUAAAGUAUUUGGCCUUAGCAUGGAUGCCUGCUUGCUUCAUUAAUUCAGCAUAGGUGUUCAAUAGGUUGCUUGAUAAGUCCAUAAAUUUACACAUUUAUGUACUCUUUAUACUUACUUUUUGUAGGAGAAUUUGAUUUAAAAAGGACUUAUUACUUUAUUUUCUCAACGGAAAUAUGACUUUUUGGUGGAGUUUUAGCACAAGACCAAUUGGAGAUGAAAGCUUAGACCUUGAAGAUGAUUGUGGAAUUUUUCUAGAAUUUUCGGAGUAGCCAAUGAGAGUAGUCUUUGAAGUUAAGUCAGCAUAAGGUGCAAUCCCGUCAAAACUGUGCUGCUGUGGAAUAAUGACUAUUUGAAGACUUUCCUGAUUUUUCCUCAAGAUGUGUGAUAUAUGGAUGGAAAGAUAAGACAAAAAUCUACAAAUUACAUAUUUUUGCCGAAUUGUUUUGAAGGAGGAACAACCCCAAACGUGCCUGAAAAGCAACUGAUGUGUUAUCUCAAUCCAAGUAGGAAGAGGAGUCAAUUACUUACCCAUUUUGGAUUUAUGUUUUAAUUAGGUUUUUCUUUAUUUUUGGGCUGCUAUAAAAGCUCAGCUAGGGUAGGAAUAGACGUGGGGUGUUUUAUUUAAGCAUGAGAAACAACUCCCUUGGGGACACGCAAAGACUAGGAGAAAUUGAAGAUGCUGGAAGAGUACCGCAAUUGGCUAAGUUUGAUUGUUUCUUCCUUAUGUUUUUGUUUAUGUCGAAUUCUAUGAUUAUGUGUAACUAAUUUUCUCUUGCUAGGGCAUGAUGUAGCCCUAGUUUGAUAAUCUAGUGUUCUUAUUUUACCUAUCUAUUGAUUGCCGUUUGAUGUUGGAUUUUUAAUCACUGUGCUUAAUAACUUGGUUUCUUAUCUUGAUGCUUGAUUACCAUCUAGAAUUUUAAUUGAGUUAAUCGGAUGCAAAUUAGAGUAAAUACCAUACUUAAUUUGAGGGUUGCUUCUUGUGAUUAGGAUUUGUAAUUUGCCUAGAGUAAAUACCAUACUCCUAGGGUUUAUAUGCUUAUUCGAGGUUUUCACUGAUCUUAACAACUUUCUAUGUGUUGAUAUUUGACCUAAAUACCAUAGGCGAAUUGCAUGUAGGAAUAUACGAGUUAGCCUAAAUACCAUAAGUAAUUCAUGAAAAAGGAAAACUAAGCGGCGACAUCAAAUGGUUAGUAAAUGGGUAGGUGAAUAAGAGGCUAGAUCGGAUUACUAGUGGUGAAUUCAUUGUCCUGGUGCUUUUAUCAAUUUGAAUUUCUCAUCUUGUGUUUUGUGACCUUCUACUUAUUUUGUCUUUUAAUUUCGUUGUUAAUUAAAUCUUUCUUUCAAAAACCCCUUUUGUGUUUACAUGAGUAUGCUACGUGUUUAAUUUCUUAUUUAUAUAAUUAGAGUAGUUAAAGUAUUUUGUGAAGUAAAUUAGGUUAGACUAAUUGGUAGUUGAACUCAAUCCUCAUGGGAAUGACCUCGUAUUUACCAUACUAUAGUACGAUUGACCUUGUGCACUUGCGAGUAUAAUUUGUGUUUAGACUAAUCUUUAUAAUCUCCAUUUUUCAGGUUAUCUAAAAUUCACAACAUUGCUGUGAACCAAGUAUCAAAAGUUGGAUUCACGAAGGCCACUCUUGAAGGCACCGAAGGCAGCACGAUCAUCUGUUUUUGGGUAGCCAGAAUACUCGUGGCUAAAGCGGGAGGCGUACUCCUGCAAGGGCUCAUCUUCACCAUGCCAAAGCAUAUAUAGGUCAUCCGCAGAGUACAGACUAUCAUUCUGAAUCAUGAAAUGGACAAGAAAAGUCUGCUUCAGGAGGUUGAAGAAGUUGAUAGUGUAGGGUUUAGCUGGUACAACCAUUUCAAAGAGGCACCAUUGAGGGUGGAGGGAAAAAGAAGGCACAUGCCUUCAUCACUAAAACCCUUGCACCCUAGGGCAGACUGAAAAGAAUGGAGUGGGUCAGCGGGUCCUCCUUACCCAUGUAGAACGUGAUGUCAAGUGACUGAACAUUCUUUUUUUGACGAUAGUUGGGGAUACACUCAGUGAAGGGGCCAGGGCGUGGCUUAGUCCAAAGGGACUGGUGGCUGCAGUGCUGCUCGUCCUCGAGACGUCGAACCUUCUCGAAAAUGAGUCUUAUGGCAAAUCGGUAUGAGGGAGGGUAGGGCGCCAAAGACUUGUGUUGUUAGGUGGGCGGAGGCGAAUAAGUUUCCCAUCCCUCGAAAGCUUCAGCAUGGUAAGGCUCCCAGUCCUCAUGAUAGUAACUUUCCCAAUCAUUCAAGUCUCCAACCCCCUCUUGGGUAGGUAAGAGGGUGGGCUUCUGCAAGGGUCCAAGGUGAGCGACCCGGGGGUUGUCAAGGUCUACAGGAAUAGGGAUGGGCUUUGACCAAAGCUUCAAGAUGCGAUCCUUGCAGUCCCUGUAAAUCUUGGUCGGGCAUGAAGCCUAUCAAUUGGUUGGGAGAUUUGGAGAAGUCGCGACUUGGUCAUUUUAGGAUGAAGAUGGCCUUUGCCUUCGUCAGGCCUAGGCUGGGUUAGGGCUCUGUGAUGGGAGACGGCUUGUGGGUUUGAUUGGGUGCGUUCAACAUCUUGGGUGAGGUCAUGCUGGGUGAAUUAGUGGUGAGCGCUCUCCCAGUUACGCUUCAAGGUUCGAAUAUCGUGUUCCAAUUCGGCAUUCUUGGUACGAAUGUGGUUUUAGCUCUCUGUCAUUUUGGUGACGUCAACAUGAAGGCCCUCUACUUCCGCUUGGAGAUGCACAUCGACCUAAGGUUUCCUUCGAGAGGACUCCCUAUGAGAGGUAUGGUACUAGGUGCAAAGGCUAGCUUCGCUAGGCAUUGCGGAAUGUGAAGGGCAGAAGAGACGAUGGGGUCGAAUAGGAGAGGGAGCCAGCAGAGCUGGUAGAGAAGUGGGAUUCAGAAGUUGUUUCCCACAUAUGGCACCAAACUAUUGAUGCUCCUUUUUGGAAGGUCAACUUAGGUGAAAGUGUGAUGGAUCUUCAGCGGGGUGAGAGGGUUCAUGAAUCUUCGAGCACAGAAGGAUCCUACAUAAGAAAAAGAGGAAGAAGCAAUCAUGAAGAUUCGGGCACCGGUGCGGUACCUGCUGAAGGUUCUCCGAUGCUUAAGUCAGCAGAUAUAGGAUAUAUGGUAAUUUUGGCAGAGUAACCGUGAAAGUAAAAAGUCAUUACCUCAUUUUGGGGACUUGUGCCUCUUUUUGUAGAGAGGUGGAAGUGGGAUUUUGCACAGAGUUUCAAUGUGGGACUUUGUGCAAGUUGAUAUAGUGGCGACACGUGUUCGCAGAUUAGGUUCUUUAGUUGAGAGCUUCGGCAACUACCUUCGAUAGGCAGUUGCCACAUCGGAGGGGGCAUUAUGUCAUCAUUGAUGUCAUCUUCAGUAGGCAUGUGAGUCUGUCUGUGCUCCAGUUCCAAGUGUCGAAUGUACUCGGUUGAAUAUGGUGUAACCAGUUCUCACACCCUCUCUCUCUCUUUAAUUGAUUUUGCAUGAAUUAGUUUUCUUUGUUUUAAACAUUGAGGACAAUGUUUGUUUUACCUUGUGUGUGAUUGAGUUCUUUGGUUUCAUAAUGUAUGCAGCAGUCUUUUAUCUUUGUUUCCAAUUCUGUUCUUGUCCACCAUUGUUUUUGUAUUUUGGCUCGCGUGGUGUUCUUUGUUUUUUCAUUUUGAAUCCAACCAUAUAAAGAACAUGAACUUUGGCCAAGUAUUUUGUGAGAUACAUAUAAUUCUUUGUGCCUGGGUCAAAACUGCAAUUUUGUUUAUUGGUUUUCAAUUCAUUUCAACUUUUGGUUUUUAUUUAAUUAGUUUUUAUUUUAAUGUUUGUUUUAUUUCUUUUUUUUUCCAUUUGAAAAAAUAAUUUAAAAAAUUUGAAAAAUUUCAUAAAACCCAAAAGUUUUUUUUUUCUUUUUUUUAUUUUUUACAUUGAGUCUUGUUUUUAUUUGUUUGUGGUAGUCCCUUCCCAAUUCUAUGAUGAGAUUGAAUUUUAUUUACAAUUAACUUUCAAGAGGUUUUGAGCAUGACACUAAGUAUUUACAUUAUCUCUGUGUUAGCCUUAUUUUUGUGAUUAGACUUGGGAAAUCCUUAUUCACAUAGCCAUAUUAAUAUGAGUUUUUAUUAGAGAUUUCACAAGAUUUAAAUGGCUAAAUAAGCUAGUGUAAAAUUAUAUAACCCUCAUUAUGUGAACUUUUGAGCCUGUGCCUUCCUUUCUUGAGUGUUAUAUGAUAUUCUAUAAUUUUCUUGUCUACAUCGUUGUGAUCUCAUUAUUCUUUGUUUUGGUCAAGUAAUUGAGGAUGUUUAAAUUGUUUGCAAGAACUACUUUCAUUAUCUAUUUGAGGCAUACUUCGUGAACCACAUGGAUUCAAGAAAGUGAUAUAGGCAUUGUUUCUUUCGUUUGAGCACUUCUAGCCAACCCGUAUCACUUUUAUGCCUAGUAACCCCUUUGUGCCUUUUAUGUAAGCCUUUUUAUUUCGUUCUUUACCCAAUUCUCCUCACCUUAAUCUAUCAUAUGUUUAUCCUAUACCCCUCUAAGGAGUUUUGUAGAGUAUUUUCGUUGUUAUGGAAUAAUUGCACAAAUUGUUCAAACAUGUGGAAAGUAAAGGAUACUAUUUCAAAACAAAAACAAACAAAAAAAAAAGAAGCUAAUUUCAAAGCCUUUUCAACUCGAGUUAUUAAGCUCUAGGAGUGUUUUAAAUUUAAUGCCCUAAAGCUAUCUAGCUUGGGAAUCAUUGGGCUAACACUCACUACAUGGGUUGAUUAGAAAGCUAAUGGUGUGAGGAAAAAAAAAAUUGUGAAAAAAAAAAAUUUCUGAAAAGAAAAUUGAAGACAGUAUCAAUAUGAAGUUUCGUGCUCAAAGUGCAAGAUGUUAUCAUUUUCAUGGAAAGCUCUAUGAAUUCCUUAGAAUUUGUUCAUCCGUAUCUUUUUCUUGUUUCACCCAUCACUCUAAGCCCCAUUACAACCUUAAGUCCUACUUGAUCCAAGGAGAAGUGUGGUUCCUCAUGUGGAGAAUAGGUGUGGAAGGACUAUGGUCAGAUGGUUUGAAUGUUUUCAAGUAUGCGAUAUCUUUUCAUGAGAUCUUUUAUAUUUUUCAUGUGCCUUUAUUUCACUUAUGUGAGUACAUCCUAUUGCUUUGAUUCCUCUCACAUAUUUAUGAGUGAUAGUAACUAGUCAAAUUUCGAGUGUUUUUAUUGGAGUGAACAUCCUUGAUGAGAUUUGAAGUUGAAGCUUGUUCUUAUUUAGUUAUUUAACUCGUGUGAAGCUUAAGUCGUGGGUUAUAUUAAUGUUGGCUAUUUCACACACUACAUCUAAGUUGUUCAAUUAAAGUUUGGUUAACCCUUUGAUAAUGUCUUGAGUUAUUGUUGCUUAUUUCUUGGAAGUUAACUAACGGUUGGUGAUUAUCUCUGAGAUCAAUAUUGGGAAGUUAGUCGAUCGCUUGUUUGCGUUGAGUCUUUGUUCUUUUGUUUUUAAUUUUCGUUUUCUUUCACUUAAGGACUAGCAAAAUAUAAGUUGUGUGUAUUUUUUAAGUCCAUAAAUUUACACAUUUAUGUACUCUUUAUACUUAGUUUUUGUAGGAGAAUUUGAUUUAAAAAGGACUUAUUACUUUAUUUUCUCAAUUUUCAGCUUUUCAUAGCAAGUAAUGGUUUUCAAUGGAAAUACGACUUUUUGGUGGAGUUUUAGUACAAGACUAGUUGGAGAUGAAAUCUAAGAUCUUGAAGAUGAUUGUGGAAUUUUUCUAGAAUUUUUGGAGCAGCCAAUGAGAGUAGUCUUUGAAGUUGAGUCAGCAUAAGGUGCAAUCCUGUCAAAACUGUGUUGCUGUGGAAGAAUGACUAUUUGAAGACUUUCUCCUCAAGGCGUGCGAUAUAUGGCUGGAAAGAUAAGCCAAAGACCUACAAUUUACAUAUUUUUGCCGAAUUUUCUUGAAGGACGAAUGACCCAAACGUGUAUGCAAAGUAACUGAUGUGUUAUCCCAGUCCAAGUAGGAGGAUGAGUCAACUACUUACCCAUUUUGGAUUUAUAUUUUAAUUAUGUUUUUCUUUAUUUUUGGGCUGUUGUAAAAGCCCCGCUACAGUAGGAACAGACGUGUGGUGUUUUAUUUAAGCAUGAGAAACAACUCCUUUGAGGGUUACACACUCAAAGACUAUGAGAAAUUGGAGACGCCGGAAGAGUACCGCAAUUGGCUAAGUUUUAUUGUUUCUUCCUUGUGUUUUUGCUUAUUAUGUGUAACUAAUUUUCUUUUGCUAGGGCAUGAUGUAAGCCUAGUAUGAUAAUCUAGUUUUCUUAUUUUACAUAUCUAUUGAUUGCCGUUUGAUGUUGGAUUCUUAAUCACUGUACUUAAUAACUUGGUUGAUUAUCUUGAUGCUUGAUCACCAUCUAGACUCUUAAUUGAGUUAAUCGAAUGCAAAUUAGAGUCAAUACCAUACUUAAUUUGAGGCUUGCUUCUUGUGAUUAUUAGGAUUUGUAAUUCUUCUAGGGUAAAUACCAUACUCUUAGGGUUUACAUGCGUGUUGAAGGUUUUCACUGAUCUUAAUGAGUUUCUAUGUGUUGAUAUUUCACCUAAAUACCAUAGGCGAAUUGCAUGUAGGAAUAUACGAGUUAGCCUAAAUACCAUAGGUAAUUCAUGAAAAAAGAAAACUAAGCGGCGACAUCAAUGGUUAGUUAAUAGGUAGGUGAAUGAGAGGGUAGAUCGGAUUACUAGUGGUGAAUUCAUUGUCCUAGUGCUUCUAUCAAUUUGAAUUUCUCAUUCUUGUGUUUCGUGACUUUCUACUUGUUUUGUCUUUUAAUUUCGUUGGUAAUUAAAUCAUUCUUUCACAAAACCAUUUUCUGUUUACAUGAGUAUGCUACGUGUUUAAUUUCUUGUUUAUAUAAUUAGAGUAGUUAAAGUAUUUUAUGAAGUAAAUUAGGUUAGACUAAUUGGACGUUGAACUCAAUCCUCGUGGGAAUGACCUCGUAUUUGCCAUACUAUAUUUACGAUGGACCUUGUGCACUUGCGAGAGUAUAAUUUGUGUUUGGACUAAUCUUUAUAAUCUCCAUUUUUCAGGUUGUCUAAAAUUCACAACACCUUCAUAAUAUAUUGGUUGCCCUCAGAAUAUAUCGGUUGCCUUCAGUAGAGUCUGUGCACAUGACUAGCUUUGCAUGUACAUGUGUUUAAUAUACAAUUGUCUUACCAGGAUUACCUAUACUUGUGUUUAUUGCGUCGGUGUCGGGCCAGUGAUUUGCCUGUACCUGCAGUUUGAUUACUCUAUAGGUGUCCGACUAGUGUAUUGCAUGUACCUCUCUUGUAGGUAUCUAGCCAAUGAAUUGCCUAUACUCAUAUCACAAAUACGAGUGUCUAGCUAGGAUUUUCCCUUGUCACCAUGUUGAUUGUCUACACAAGGUUGGUUAAUUUCCCCAUAGAUAUACUUGGGUGGAGAGUUUUUAUAUGGAUUGGUUUGAGACUUGAAUUCUAUUAAGUUACUUGUUGAAUCGCUUAAUUUGUUGAUUUUAAGCUUAUGGUAUGAGAUUUCAAUUGUGUUACUUGAAUUUGCUUAAGUAUAUAUGUAAAGAUCACAACUCAUUCAUGUAUGAGUACUUAUAAAGUGUUUAGUAUGUUUGGUAUAUCUAUUUUUGAGGAAAACUUUCUUUUCGUUCACUUACAUUUUUACUAUUUUGCCCUCCCAUGAUAUAGAUAACUGAGGUCUACCACUCCACGUCAAGGCAUCAUCAUUGUCGUUCGCUCUGCAACCUUCUGCCAUAGGAUUUCUUUUUAUCAUUCCUGCUUUUUUAUUCCUCAGGUUGUAAAAAGUUAUAAAUUGCUCUGUUAUGCCCAUUUAGGAUUUGUGUAACAGCUUGAGACAAAUAAAUUGUUUAUUAGACUGGGUGUGAUGAUAGUAUUGCGCGUGCUAAAGUUUGGGAGUUAUUGUUGGACUAUUUGUUGGUGGAUUUAUUUGAGAAAUGUCCAAGGUAAUAAGGUGGACUCUGCCGAAAUUUAGGCAGGAGUCGUAGACUCAACCGAGGUGAAUUUGUUUUCAAAGGCAUGUUUACUAAUUGGGGUCCGACAUGUGUUUGAUGUCAAACAGGAACAGGGUUCAUGGAUUCCAAAGGGGAAUUCAGGGCGAACCCUGUCAUGCAAGCCAAGUCUUUUAAAUUACCUAGGAUCUGAUCCAAGCCCGCUCUUCAUACCGCCACAAAUCAGCAAAUGGGCUAUCAAAGAGAGUCCGACUUUGCCAAAAAUACGGGCCCAAACAGGAGGGUGGGGGGUGUUCGUUAUUUUUUUUACUUUCUGUUUAAUAAUUUCCAAUCUCCAUUUCCAAAUGUCAAGAUUUGAUUGUUGGGUUGAACUUAGAGGUGUCAACACGAGCACAACCCACUUAAAUAAGGCCUGGUACAGCAUGAUUUGUAUCUUUAGGUCGUGUCGGGAUAAGGUAAUUAGGCCCAAUGGGCCGGCCCGUAUAAAACCAUUUAUUAAAUUAUAUUUAUUUUAGAGAAAAAUAAUAUAAUAUAUUUAUAUUUAAUUUAAGUCUAUUUCUUUUCUCUAAUAAUAUGUAUUAAAAUUUAAUGUUUUCUUUAUAUAUAAAAUAAUAAUUUUGUUUUUCAAAUUUCAAUUUGUAAAAUCUAAACAAUAAUAUAGUUAUUUUCUAUUUAAAUGUACUUUAAAAAAAGUUAUUAGUCACUUUUUUCAAUAAAUAAUAAAUCUUGUUCGUAUAUAUACAAUUGUAAAAAAAUAUUUAAAUGAAGUUAUAAAAAUAUAUACAUAUAUAUAUAUAUAUAUAUAUACAUUAGUCAAAUUUGGUGUGGAUUCAUCUCGACCCGAUUAGUGGUCCGCCCUGAGCACGGCCCGAACCCAUGUAAAUUUGGCCGUGAACUCGAGUCGGAAUUGAUGAUUUUUAUAAAUGAAAGAGUCCAGCAUGACCUAUUUAUUAAAUUGACGAACUCUAAACAGACGGGAUUGACAUUGUUUAUACCGAAAUAAACGGCCUAUGACCACUGAACACGUGGACAGGAUCGAUAUUGAUCACAGAACUCCUUCGGCAUGCUUCCUACCGAAGCCAUCUAUCUUGGCCCUUUUACCAUCGGACACGUGUCAUGCUCACAAUCCGUGUCCACAGUCCCACAUCGAAAAUAUGAGCACAGUGCACACCUCCCAAGGCCUAUAUAAGGAGACCCAUAUCCCCAAAAGGAGAGGAUCAGAACUAACGGUACGCUAUCGAUUGAUCUGUUAGUUAACAUUACUAAAACCGUAUUUACUAAAGCAUCGGAGAGCCUUCGGCCGGUACCACACCGGUACCCCAAGGACUUACCGAACGUGACCUUUUGCAGGUACUUACCCUUCCGAAGUAGAACAUCUUCCAAAGACAGUCACCUACCGAAGACAUAAUAUCACUAAGUUGACGAAAUACGUGAUGAACCACUUUUUCGCAUCAACAGUUGGCGCCGUCUGUGGGAAUCCAGAAAAAUCAUCAGCCCAUUAUCUCCAAAACACAUGGGGACCACUUCAGUACCUACGUUCCUAUCGGAAGAAGGGCUACCGUUCGGUAGGCAAGGCGGAGCUAGCCCAGCGCUACCCCCAUGCACUCCCUUCGGAAACGCCCCCGCUACCCAAACAACCGCCGAAGCCGAGCUGGUAGCCCAAAUCGCGUCCCUACGAAAGGACAUGGCAAGGCUUCAGGAACACAACAACCUUCUUUCAUCCAAAGUGGACGAAACCCAGCAGCUGCUCCACCAGCAGCACACGCAGAACAUUCAGACAACCCACUCUUCCGAGAGCUUGCAGACCCCUCAUAGGAAGAAGAGACACGAUAAGGUAGCGAAGGCAACGCCCGCACCUUCCAAACAGUUGGUGGUCCCUGCACCCAGGGAUCAGCCGCACAUCCCCAAGAAAGUCUACUCCGAUUGUCGACAUCGGAUUAACGAUUGAGAGGCAGAGAGACAGAGGUCUCCGAUCAGGAUUAGCGCUCGACAAAGGGACUCACGGAUGAAAAUCCUAGGAGACAAGUCGCCUAUUCGGAAGGUCAGAGGGCUGGACCCCGCAGAAAAGUCAGAAUCUGAAUAUAUCCCUUCCAGGACGCAAACUGCCACCUACCGUUCGGCAACGCCUUCCCGGUACUCGGGGGUUGAUCCACCAAACCUACAAAGACGAUCGGAAGAUUAUGAUUCCGAGGAAAUCCCUAGCCGAGACCCUGUUGUCCGACUCCUUUUUCAGAAAGUCCAGAAAAUGGAAAACGACAAAGCUCGCUCCCAAGAACCGGAAUGGGGAAAGCUUCGGCCCGGACCAUUCACCAGGCGCAUCCGGGACUCUCGGCAGGAUAGGGAAGGGCAGCAACUGCGCAUACCGUUCUAUACGGGAACGGAAAACCGCUUAACACACCUCCACUCAUUUCAGUCCGCCAUUGGAUGCAAGGGCCUGAGCGAUGAAGGGCAGUGCCUGCUAUUCUCGUCCUCCCUUACUGGGGCAGCCCUGAACUGGUUCUACCGGUUGGAGCCGGAAACAGUAGACUCCUUCGACGAGCUGAAGCAGAUUUUCCUCAAUCACUUCAUGAUCCAAACGGACCGUCUUUACUCUGCCGAUGAUCUGUACACGAUUCGGCAAAGUGAGGACGAACCGUUGAGAGAAUACGCGGCGCGCUUCAGUCACGAGUACUCAAGGUGUCCGGAAACAGACGAUAGGGCAGCCUACGGCACCUUCAAGAGUGGCAUUCGGUCCCCGCAUUUUCGAUACCUAGUACACAGCAGCAACUGGCGCACGUACGACGAACUGAUGAAGCAGGCGGCAAUCCAAGCCAAAGCCGAAUACUUCAACUCGAAACCUGCGGUUUCGGCACCGCGAGGAGAUGCCGAACCAAGUGCUUAUCCGGCAAAGGCGAUACCCUACGAGAGAGUCGACACAUACUCGGUAGGUCAUAAGAGGAAAGACGACCGUGCCGAUCGAAGAGAACACUCGAAGAAGGGAAAAGGGACUUAUGGUCGCAACGACCACCGAGCGCCGUUGCCGAAUCGUGACCACGGCAAUGAAGUCUUCACCCUAUUGAACACUACCUACGAGGCCGUCCUGAUGAACGAACAAGAAAUAAUACCAAAGCCGAAUCUACGAAGACCCAAUCGGCAAGACAACCGGGAUACCGGUAAAUUCUGUCGAUACCAUCAGCACAACAGCCAUAAUACGGAAGACUGUAUAAGCCUGAGAAAAAUUGUCGAACGGUUGAUCAGAGAGGGGAAGCUAGACCAGUAUAUCGCCCGGCAGCCACCGGCGCCGGUGCCGAACACAACUCGGCAGAUAAACAUGAUAAGCACUAUCAGCGGUGGCCCCACCAUCGCAGGAAUGAGCAACCGUUCAAUGAAGCAAUACGUGCGUGCCGCACAAUUUCCUCAGGUAUUCGGCAUAGAGGUGAAUCGGCACCAUAAAACACCGAAAGUUCAUUGGGAACCAAUCACAUUUUGUGAAGAGGAGGAAGAGGGCAUCCUCUAUCCCCACGACGACCCGAUGAUCAUCCGAGCAGAAAUUGCCGACUACGAUGUAGGACGGGUGCUGAUCGAUACCGGAAGCUCGGUGAACGUAAUUUUUGCCGAAGCUUUUCGAGAAAUGGGAAUAGAAGACAGCCAGGUCAACCAGCAGUUGACACCUUUGUUAAGUUUCUCUGGGGACCUGGUCCAACCGGUCGGUAGUGUAAAACUGCUAAUUACCUUCGGCACUGCGCCAAGAAAAACGGCGGUAUACGAUCAGUUCCUCAUCGUUGACUGCCCGACGGCGUACAACGUCAUAGUUGGACGAACGGCACUCACCAAGGUCAAGGCGCAUCUUUCCCCCCACAUGCUACUGAUGAAGUUCCCGACCCCCAACGGCACAGGGGCUGUCCGAGGAAAUCAGUUAAGCGCGCAGACUUGCUACGCCACGGCCCUCAAGUCAACCUCUUUCCAAAUCCCCGACGAGACCAUGUCUGUACAGGGGAUACCGAACGGUACGGGACUCGUUGACGACCUAGGGAUGAGUCCCCGACUCCUCACACACAACCUGCCGAAGAACUGGAAACGAUAACCCUGAGCGACGAGCAGCCCGAUCAUCGGGUUAAAAUCGACACCAGACUCACCCCUACCCUCCGAGCGCAGUUCAUAGACUUCUUACGGCACCAUUCGGAAGUGUUCGCGUGGUCCUACGAAGAUAUGCCCGGCAUAGACCCUGAGAUCAUCAGCCAUAAACUCAGCAUUUCCCCCGCUUAUAAGCCUAUAAGACAGAAGCGUCGUUCGUAUGAUGCCGAACGAUACAAAGCGAUGCGCACAGAGGUUGACAAACUUCAAACCAUCGGCUUCAUCAGGGAGGCUACGUAUCCGGUAUGGCUGGCAAACUCGGUGAUGGUCCGGAAGGGUACAGGCGGGUGGCGAAUGUGCCAAGACUAUACCGAUUUGAACAAGGCCUGCCCGAAGGACAGCUUUCCGUUGCCACGGAUAGACCAGCUCGUGGACGCCACCGCCGGACACGAACUGUUCAGCUUCAUGGACGUCUAUUCGGGAUACAAUCAGAUAUUCAUGCACCCUUCCGACAGCGAACACACCGCCUUCAUAACGGACAGGGGGUUGUAUUGUUACAAUGUCAUGCCGUUCGGCCUGAAGAACGCGGGGGCAACAUAUCAAAUGCUCGUCAACAGAAUUUUGGCCAAACACAUCGGCAGCAUCAUGGAAGUUUACGUUGACGACAUGUUAGUAAAAAGCAGAACUGCCGAAGAACACCUGCACAAUUUGUCAAUCAUGUUCGGCAUACUGAAAGACUACCGGAUGAGGCUGAACUCGAUGAAAUGCGCCUUCGGUGUAUCUUCCGGGAAAUUGUUCGGGUUCAUGAUUAGUCACAGGGGUAUCGAAGCGAAUCCCGAAAAAAUAAAGGCAAUCAUCGAUAUGGAAAGGCCGAAGACGACGAAGGACAUUCAAAGCCUUACCGGACGCAUGGCGGCCUUGACUCGCUUCAUAUCCAAGGCUACCGACAAAUAUGUACCGUUCUUUAAAGCCUUGAAAUGGGGCAAACGGAAUAUCAUAUGGACUGCCCAAUGUGACAAAGCGUUUCAAGACUUAAAGGACUACAUGGGCAAAGCCCCCCUUUUAUCAAAACCGCAACCCGGAGAGAUUCUCUGCCUAUACCUUUCGGUAUCUAGCACUGUCGUCAGCUCGGUAUUGAUUCGAAAACCAGAAAAAGCAGAGCUACCGAUUUUCUAUGUCAGUAAGGCACUCCAAAGUGCUGAACUUCGGUAUCCCCCAUUAGAGCAGCUUGCACUAGCCCUUGUGGUCUCGGCACGAAGACUUCGGCCAUACUUUCAAGCGCACGGAAUCAAAGUCCUGACUAACCAACCGCUUCGGCAAGUGCUCCAAAAACCAGAGACUUCUGGCCGAUUGAUCAAGUGGGCGAUCGAACUCGGAGAGUUCGAUAUACAAUUCAUGCCAAAGCCCGCCGAAAAUGGUCAAGCCGUUGCCGAUUUUAUCUCCGAGCUCACCCCAUCAACAGCACAGACAACACCCGAGCCGGUGACCGAGACCGGAUUGCCGGAGGAACUAGACACCGAACGCUUUGACGUCUCAACUCCAGUAUGGAUUCUACACGUCGACAGCUCGGCAAACCAACAAGGGUGCGGAGCAGGCUUGGUACUAACAACAUCGAAGGGACUCAAGAUCGAGUACGCCCUCCGAUUCGACUUCCGAACCUCCAACAAUGAAGCGGAAUAUGAGGCUCUCUUGGCCGGCCUUCGGUUAGCCAAGAGCAUGAAUGCAAAACAAAUCAGAAUUCACAGCGACUCCCAGCUCAUUGUGAACCAGGUAACGGCAGACUUCGCGGCCAGAGACGCCUCCAUGCACGCCUACCAUUCGUCCACCCAUCAACUGCUCCAAAGCUUCCGAGCCUACGAGAUCAAGCAGAUCCCCAGAAGCGAAAAUAGCCAUGCCGAUGCAUUGGCACGACUGGCUUCGGCAAUCAAUGAUAAAGUCGGAAGAAAGGUACCGGUAGAGAUUCUUGCCCAACCGAGCACGGUAACCUCCGAAACAUGCACCGUGCGGUACGAAGAUACAUGAAUGUCUCCUAUCUACUCGUACCUGACCAACGGCACCCUUCCAGAAGACGAGGCCCAGGCCCGAAAGCUUAGGUACCGAUCGGCAAGGUACACCGUCAUCAACGACGUCCUUUACAAACGUAGCUACACAACUCCAUAUCUCAAAUGCCUUACAGCAGAACAGGGGGACUACGUCCUUCGGGAGAUCCAUAAUGGUGUGUGCGGCGACCAUUCCGGGUCCCGGUCACUCGCCCACAAAACCUUUCGGCAGGGGUACUUUUGGCCGACCAUGCACCAGGACGCUCACUCACUAGUGAAAAAGUGUGAUAAAUGCCAGCGCUUCGGCAACAUACAGCAUAUCCCUGCCGAACCCCUUACACCGAUCGUGAGUCCUUGGCCUUUCGCACAAUGGGGACUAGACCUGAUCGGUCCGAUGCCGCAAGGUAAAGGCCAGGUAAAAUACGCCGUGGUUGCCGUCGACUACUUCACCAAAUGGGUAGAGGCCGAACCUUUGGCAACCAUAACGGCAGCAAAGAUGGAGGACUUCGUCUGGACUCACAUUUGUUGCAGAUUCGGUAUCCCAUAUGCUAUCAUUACCGAUAACGGCAAGCAGUUCGAUUCGGAACUCUUCAGGCAAUUCUGCACCCGCCUGAAAAUCAAUUUGUUUUUCGCAUUACCAGCUCAUCCCCAAUCGAACGGUCAGGUCGAAGCAAUAAACAAAAUCAUCAAGAAACUACUGAAACGGCAGCUGGACAAGGCCAAAGGAGCCUGGCCAGAAAAGCUUCCCAAAGCACUCUGGGCCAUUCGGACAUCUUACCGAACGUCCACGGGAGAGACCCCUUUUUCUUUGGCUUUCGGUUCGGAAGCCGUGGUGCCUGUGGAAAUUGGCGAACCCUCCUAUCGAACGGAAGACUUCGCACCGAAGCCAAACGAAGAAGCCGUUUCUCUAAGCCUCGACUUACUUGAAGAACACCGAGCGCAUGCCAACCUUCGGAACGAAGCCUACAAACAGCGUGUCUCUCGGUAUUACGACUCUAGGGUCAGGCACCGCUCCUUCCGAAUCGGAGACUGGGUCAUGCGGAAGGUAUCCCUAGCAACCAAAGAUGCCACGGAAGGAACCCUCGGACCUUCUUGGGAAGGACCCUAUGAGAUCAUCGGUAUCCUUCGAUCGGGAACCUACCGCCUAAGAGACUCCAACGGCAAGACCCUCGGUCAUCCUUGGAACGUGGAACAUCUCAAAUACUAUUUCAAGUAACCUACCCUACGGUAGGACAAAGUUGUAACCGAUUGAAAUGUAUUUGCCAUUCGGCGGAAAUUAAUAGAAAGCCUUCGGCACUAUUACUUCAGAACCUCUUUUUAAAAUUACUCUACUAAGCCCACGGCUGCCGAUAGUGGCAAGUUAACGUUCUGCGGCAUCUUUAUUAGCCCACGGCAAUAAAUGCUUUUCGAAAUUGUUACCCUACAGAUUCCAUCCGAACUUGCCAAUUUCGAAAUGUCCCUUUAACGUUAUAAAUCCUAUAUGGAACCUUUCGGCAAUAAGUACGAUCAGCAAUUGAAACAAACUCAGAUUGUUCAAACAACAGUAAAUAAAAACAUGCAUUUGAAUUAAAGAUGCCCUCAGCAUCAAUAUGUUCGGUACAUGAAAUUAAGAUAAAAAAACUAAUACAACUAUUACAAAAACACGGCAGGGAGCCUCAAGAUUUCUCGGCGGCGGCAGCCUCGGCAGAACCAGAGCCUUCGGCAGUGUCCUCCCCCUCGUACUCCUCGAUCAUUUCCUCGGUUAUUCCUUCCGGUAGGGGGGGAGGGUCGGCGAUGAAGUUCAGGUUCAACUUUUGCCCAGGGUUGUACCGUUUGAAUCGGUACAACAAGUCCGCCAUCUCCGAGCCCACUUCCUUAUCCAGGAGAACAGUGAACUCUUCGGACGAGCGGUACCCCGGGAUAGCUGACUGAACAGCAGCCUCGAUCUCCGCGGCCUUAGCCCGCUCCGACUCUUCCAAGGCCACCUGCACUACCUCUUUGGCGGCCUCGGCAUCCCUCGCUGUCGCUAGCGCUGCCUCCAGGAGACCCCUCAUCUCCUCCACCUUCUCCUCCGAAGUGAGAACCUGCCGUUCGGCAGACUCUUUCUCCUUCAGCAGGUGGGCAUGCUCCUGGAGCGCUUUGCCAGCCUCGGCGACCUUGGCCCUGCCGUCUUCGUACGCUUUCUUGGCGCACUCGGCAGCAGCAAUGGCCCGCUUGAUGCAGAGCCACAUGUCCAUGGACGCCUGCACAAAACAAACAAAGUCAGAAGCGUGCCACACUUAUUAAAAAAAAAAAGGGGGGGACGAAGGAAGAAAGAAAAUCUUACCGAGGCCUGAAGCCGGAAGGCGCGUCCAGCCUCCUCCCGAAGAAACUUCUUUGGUAGUUCGUCGAUCUCCGGCAGCUCCAUCUGAGAACCGAGGAUCAUAUGGUUGACGAACUAGACCAUCUUCGCGGGGGAGGCGAUGGUGACGGCUUCGGAAGGACCGUCCUCGUCCUCAACCGCAAGGACUGCCCUGGGGACCUCCGAUUGACGAGGGCGUUUGGGGACUGGCUCAGCUUCCAGAUCUACCGUCUCCGGCCGCUUGCCGGCAGCCUUGGCAGCGGCGGCCUCGGCAUCCCGAUUUUCAUCACCGACCCGCCUUAACACAGGCUCGGCACCCAGCUGCCGCAUACGAUCAGCGAGAGUCUGAUCCUCGGGAUCCGCCGCUGCCUGCCGAGCGGAAGUCUCUUCGGGCUGCCUCUUUUUCCUCUUGCCCUCCAGGCCCAUCAUCAGGCGCCUCCUGGAGGACUCGUUCAUCUUCCUCGCCUCGGCAGCCUUCCUGGCGUCCGUCACUGGUCAAAAGCGUUUGUCAGUCGGCAAGCAAAAGCAAUACACGAAAAUUAAAAAAAAAAGAGAAGGAAAGAUACACUUACUCUCGGCAGGGUCAACGAGGCCGGCUCUGACGAGGUUGUCGGUGAAGAGGAAGCGUGGGUAAACUCGCUCGGCAGCGAGUACUCUGAGCCUCACUCUGUCGAGCUGCUGGAUCUCACUCUGCUUGGGGCUCGACUGCUUGAGUUUACCUGUCAGAAGAAGGAAAAUUAGUAAAAUGAAGCAAGGAAAAAGCAGAGAGAAGAGAAGCCGUCCUAUCAAUCAGUAUCUCAGGAACCUACCGGCAAUCUGAAAUGUCGUGGGUACCGAGAAGUGGGGGGGUGUUCCCGAUGGCGAUUCCCAAUUGCCGGAGAGCAGCACCCGCCGAUUCCUCCACGACUUUUGGGAAGUCGGCACCGAGCUGAUGAAGUGCCCCCGCUCGGAAGCCUUCAAGCAGUUCGCCUGAACCCAGCCGCCGUGAUCGGUGCUCUUGGACUUGGUAAUGCUGUAUAAGUACAAGAACUGCUCGUAGGAAGGCUCCCCCUCCUCGGCAAUCCCGAACACAGCAAUUACCCCCAUCAAGGCCACCCAGAAGUUGGGGUUGUACUGGCCGGGAGCGUACCCGAUCUGAGCGAGGAUCUUCUGCACGGCAGGUUGCAACGGUAACCGAACCCCUUGCAGAAGAACAUCGGUGAAGAAGGUCACCUCGCCGUUCGCAGGGUCGCUGAGGGACUCGACCGGGCUCGGUAUCCUCAUCUUCAUCGAAUCAGGAAUGAGGUACUCGACCCUAAUCCUCUCCAGCUCUCGCUCGGUGAUCUUGUUGGGCUCUAAGUAGUCGACCCCGAACAGAGUCUUCUUGGGCACACCCACCAGUAUCCUAGGCUGCUCUCGGUGGAUGAUUGUCACCCUUGGCCGAGAGGGACCGGUAAUGCCCUCACCACGACCGGAGGUGGAGGCCUCAGGCUGAUGCUCUAACGGCCCGACGCGGGUACCGUCCUUGUACACCGCUGCCAAGAGUAGCGGUUGCCCCGUCAUAAGCCCCUUGCCGAUUCCAUGGGUGGGAACGGAGCUCACCUCCUCACCGAAUAACUCAACAUCGGUAUCUUCUCCACCCUCGGCGUCGAGGCUCACAGCCUCGCUGGACGUAUCCCAGCCUGAUGACAACUCCCCAUCGAACGCGUUGGGCUCACUGCCGAACGGCGAUUCGCUAUCGGACAUCUACAAAACAAAGAAAGGGAAGUUAAGGCCCAUGCCACAAACUACUCUACCGAUACCUACAUCGCUACCUAUGGCCACUAGACUACCGAAGGAAAAUCCUAAUUAACGUUCGGCUAGCCUACGCCAUGGAAAGACGUAUAAUUAAAUAAAAAGAGAGUAUUCUGAGGGUGCGGAACGGUAUCUUACCUUGAGUAGUGUGGGAUGAUUUGAUCGCCGAUCAGAGACUUCAGAAAUCGCCCUUUAUGCCGAAGAACCACUGUAAAAAUCGCCUUGAUUGCCGUUCACUCUCUUCAGAAAUCGCCCGCACAGAGCUCUCGCAUCAACUCACAAUUGCAAAGUGAGCCUUGCGUCUGGAGAAACUCCUAUUUAUAGGGAGAGAGCCACAACGGUACUCCUCGGGAGACUAAACGGCUCAUUAAUGCGCCGUCAGGCGUGCUUUUACUGACCACGCGUCACCCGACGAAUGGCGCCGCUGACUGCACGCCAGGCACGGAAGACGAAGCGUCUCUCUGCCCUCUCGCCUCUCAGCAUCGACGACCCCUCGGGUCCCAGGUCAAUCUCUCCCGAACGAUAUCUUCCGAAAGGAUCGACACGCAUCCUUUCCUCCCCCCAAACGAUAUCUACCGAACGGCAGGAUAACCUCCGAACCGACAUAGAGAACUAAAUUCCCUUCCGAAGGAUCUUCGGAAGAGAACUUGGGGGACUACUGUUUAUACCGAAAUAAACGGCCUAUGACCACCGAACACGUGGACAGGAUCGAUAUUGAUCACAGAACUCCUUCGGCAUGCUUCCUACCGAAGCCAUCUAUCUUGGCCCUUUUACCAUCGGACACGUGUCAUGCUCACAAUCCGUGUCCACAGUCCCACAUCGAAAAUAUGAGCACAGUGCACACCUCCCAAGGCCUAUAUAAGGAGACCCAUAUCCCCAAAAGGAGAGGAUCAGAACUAACGGUACGCUAUCGAUUGAUCUGUCAGUUAACAUUACUAAAACCGUACUUACUAAAGCAUCGGAGAGCCUUCGGCCGGUACUACACCGGUACCCCAAGGACUUACCGAACGUGACCUUUUGCAGGUACUUACCCUUUCGAAGUAGAACAUCUUCUGAAGACAGUCACCUACCGAAGACAUAAUAUCACUAAGUUGACGAAAUACGUGCUGAACCACUUUUUCGCAUCAACAGACAUCUCUAAUGAACAUGUCAAUAGUUAAUGAACUUGAAAGGACAUUUUUGUUCGUGCAUGCCAGCUUCACAUGCGACUUCUGGACGUAACUGGUUCGCCUGAGUACAUAAUUAAAGGGUUCCCACUACGGAUGGUCAUCUUCAGAUAGCGAGCCACAGGGUGACAACAUCCAUGGAAUUUGGCCUUUCUAUUAUUUGCUAAUCACCGUAGCCAACUUCUCCACCGCACACAGUUUUGCAUUAUUUCUCAUAUAUUCACAAGAAAACAUAAAAUAAAAUAAUAACGUUCACGCGGAUGUUGGAUCCAAAUUCCAAUCCCCAUAGAAGUAAACACGUUUUAAGGCAGUAGGGUCAACGUGGUCCUAUGCAUAAAUACCAAUUCGAUGACUCAUACUAUGUAGUCAUUUUGUUGCAAUAAUACAGGCCCUCGCAGUGUGUGAGAUGGGUUCAUUGUGCCCUCUACUGUUUCCGGUGAACCGUUUCGAGCCGGAACUUAUAACACCGGCGAAGCCAACGCCUAUUGAAACCAAGCAGCUGUCGGAUAUAGACGACCAGGACGGCCUUCGGUUUCAUUUUCCAGUCAUCAUAUCUUAUAAAAACAAUCCUUCAAUGAAAGGAAACGACGCCGUUAUGGUGAUCAGGGAAGCACUGAGUAGGGCACUAGUGUAUUACUACCCUUUGGCUGGUAGACUCAG
rnacentral:lncRNA from 1 species